CACAGCCCGUGGCUGGUACACCGAUGGCAUACAUGAUCACAACAACAACGAUGAGUAGGAAACUGGUUGUCCUCAUGGCGUAUAAACUUUGCGAUGAUGAAAAUUUUGGUUUGCUAGUGAGGUUUUGGAGCUUGAGAUAACGAGUCAGUUUAUGUGGGGCUCUGGUGAACUGGCAAUGUGAGUGGUUCCACAACAAUCGAGAUGGGGGUGGUUAAAUAGACAUCACUAUAGGAGGCAAACAUUACUUGGAUGCAUAUCCAAACAUGAAUUUAAAAUGGCAUUUAUGACAACAUUUUACUAUGUUUAUCCAAACAUUACUUAGAUGCAUAUCCAAACAUGAAUUUAAAACAACAUUUUACUGCGAACAUUAAUUGGACACAUACCAAAAUAUAGGCAUUUUGAAUGAGAUUGACUGCAAGAUUUUAUUGGGUGUGACGGUUAGACAAAUAUUCAACAAUUAGUCUAAUGUUGUAUCUAUUACUACUUUUGUUUCAGUAUUAAUUGGUAUACACCCAAAAAGGCGUCUAGAAGGAGACUAAUCAGAUCAGAAAUUUAAUUGGAAUGGAUAGUAUUAUCCUGGAAUGUUGGAAUAUUUGGGUCAAAGAAAUGGGAAAAAUCUUAAAAAGUGAAGUAGGCUAAUAUGCUCUACCGCUAGAGAAGGUGGUAGUAGCCACUUGUCAUGUAAGAGUUGUCAGUGAACCUGGACUAGGUGCUACACUAGUGCAGAACCGGGCUAUAGCCCCGGUUCGUAAGGGGCUUUAGUGCCGGUUCUGUAACCGGCACUAAAGGGUGGGGACUAAAGCCCCCCCCCCACCUUUAGUACCGGUUCGGCUCGAACCGCAGCUAAAGGGCCACCACGUGGCAUGAGCCAGGCCCGGGUGUGGGGAGAGCGUUAGUACCGGUUGGUGUUACCAACCGGUACUAAAAAGUUUGAGGGGUUUUGGUUUUAUUAUUUAUUUUUUCUUUAAUUUUGUGUUUUCCAUUUAAUUCUUUUUCGUUUGUUCGUAUUUUAUGAUACUACAUAUUGUACACGUUAUGCAUAUAUAUAAAUAGAAUUUCUCGUAGAACCAUUAUAUAUAUAUAUAUAUAUAUAUAGGGUGGGUCUAUUAUGAUAACACCCCUUAAGACCUUAUUCUGCACACCAAAACGCUUAUUCUGCUAACACUAGCAACCGAACCACAUGCAACGAGCGAACCCCCACCACCUCUCCCGCAUACACCCCUCGUCCACAAGUCCACAAGCCGACUGCCCCGGCUCAUCUUCUCUGCCCCCAACUCCGAGCCCUGCUCCGCCGUUGUACACCACCCCGUCGCGCCCCUGCAGCUCGCCUCACCCCACACCUCCACCUUCCACCUCCCUCCACCUCCUUCCUCUCCCACCAACCACCUACCCCCGCUACCUCCAGCACGCCACCGCCCACAUCGGGCCAUCCCCUGCCAUCCAACCACUUGAUCCGAGAUGUGCUGACCCCACGCCACCAGAUCCGGGCAGUCCCGUCUCCCGGCGAUGCCCUGCGCCGCUGGAUCGGCCCCAACAAGCUAUGCUCCUCCUCCUCUAUGCCCUGCACUGUGCCAACCGCCGACCAAGACACCACCCUGCGAGUUCCUGGUCGUGGAAUCCCCUGUCCUGAGCUUGAGCACUACUCCAAGUCCGGCGCGUGGCUGCCGCCAUGUAACCGCAUCGGCGCCCCACCUCCCCAUCCACCCAAUCUCAUCAUUGAUCCAGCCAGGCCCGAAGGGAGGAGAGCGGCCGGCUCUCUUCCUCCUUUCCGGCGAGGCCUGGGCGCCCCCUCCUCCGGCGCGGAGCAGCCACACCGAAUCCCGACACUCGCCGCCACCACCUUCGCUCUACACCGCGCUUGGAUCCGGGCCACCACUGCCGACGCCGCGCCCCUGGCUUCCCCACUUCCCCUCUGAACAUGCAGUGCGGGCGACUAUGGUGUGUAGUGCAGCCCGCCCGGCGUGCAGCUCGGCCCCCGCCCCUGCGUGCAGCUCGCUCCCCACCCAGGCCUGCGAGCACCCUCGACCUCCGGCAGUGCUCUUCCCAUGGCGCACCAGCAGGCUGAUUCUACAGCCAGAUCCGGCAGUUGCCGUCUCCCUGGUCCUUCUCUUCGUCCUCUCCGGUGGUGGUGGCAUGGCAGGGCUCUCCGGCAGCCAGCUCCGGGUCGUUUUGCCAUGUUUUGUCCCCUGCCACUCAUCCAUCCCCCUUCUCUCUGUUUUGCAGGUCCGGCCCCCCGGCGGCAUUCCAUGUAACCACCACGACGAGCGGCUGAACCCGCACCCCAGAUCCAUCUCUUUGAGUGCUUAGCGGCGAGCUCCAUGGCGCGGGAUCCCCAUCCCAUCGGUUAUCUCUUCUCCCUUCCCCUCCGCUCCUCUCCGGCGAGCUCUCACUAAUGUGCUGCCUGCUAUUCAAAUUUUUCCAGGCUUGAAGUUCACUGGGUACAGACAGGAUGACCAUGACGAGUCGUUUGGGGGAACGCCCACUUGAAGUGUUCAGCCGGCGGAACGCCCGCUCAUGAUGACAAACACUCGGACAAAGUUUUGCAUUUUUGUAGAAGUUCAUUUUGCCAUGUGCAGCUAUUCAUGUUUCUCGGGCGUGCAGUACACUGAGUUUUGUAAAAAAAUAAGGGACUACUUGCAGAACAUGUUGCAAAUUCUUGCAGUUUUGGCAAUCGAUUUUAUCUAUUGUUCGGUGCAAAUUGAGCUCCUGGCUGAUCAAUUCAGUGCGAUGCAGUGCGGUGUGCCUGUUCGCUUAGUUCGACACUCUUCUUGCUUCUUGGGAUGUUCUUCUAGUGAACCUCUUGUUUUCUAAAAACUGCCCACUAUUGGUAGUAAUGUGGUUCACUUCCAUGUAUGUCGAGGUUUAUUUGCACUCGUCUCUGCGGUCCACUCUCGUUUAUAAAAAGAAAACAAAAACUUGUUCGAGAAAAUGUACGUCCAACAAAAAGAAAUCAUGAAGUUCACUUGACUUUCUGAUGCAGUGCGGUUUUCUAUUCGAAGCAGUGCGUUCUUUCAUAAAAAAUGACGACAAAAACUCACAAAAGCUCACCUGAGAAAAUUUACGCCCGACAAGAAAAUCAUGAAGUUCGCUUGACUCUUUGAUGUAGUGCGCUUUUCCGUCUAAAAGCAGUGCGGUUUUCUUCCUCGUCUUCAAAAAUUUAUGUCCCACAAAAAGGAAACCAUGCAGUUCUCUUGCUCGUUUAAUGCAGUGCGGCAUUUCGUCCGAUGCAGUGCGGUUUUCAGUCGGAUGAAGUACGCACGUCGAUUUGGGUGUCGCGAAAAACAGAGUGUCCGCACUUCGGUAAAUUUAAAACUGCUCUUAAACCGUAACGAAUUAGAGAGAGUGUUCUACAUGAAAAAGUUGCGUCUCGUCGAUAUCUUUCCAACGGCGUAUGAUUUGAAUUUUUUGACCAGCCGUUCGUAAAAAUUUCGCGAAAAACAGCCGCUUCCCUCUCGAAUUCAGCCGCACGAUUUUCAAAAUUAACUAAAAAUUGUAAGGAAUCUCAAAACCAUUUCAACAUAUGAAAGUUGCGCCUUGUCCGUAGCUUUCCAACGGCGUAUCAUACGUCUCGUUUCGACAAACGGUUAGAAAACUGGAGCAAAAACAGUACCGAAAAUUUUAAAAAAUUUGAAAAACAGAGUUCCGCGAUUUAGUAAAUUUGAAACUGCUCUUAAACCGUAAUGAAUUAGAGAAAGAUUUAUAUAUGAAAAAGAUGCGCCUCGAUGAUAUCUAUCCAACGGCGUAUCAUUUGCUUCAUUCCGACAAGCGGUUUAGAAAAAAACGUGAAAAAACGCUCGCUGCCACUCGUCAUCCGCCGCACUAUUUUCAAAACUACUCUUAAACCGUGUGGAAUCUCAAAAAGUGUUCAACAUGUCGAAGUUGCGCCUAGUCCAUAGCUUUUCAACGGUAUAUUACACGCCUCAUUCCAAUAAACGGUUAAAAAAUUAGAGCAAAAACAGUACCGAAAAAAUAACGCGUGCAGUUUUUUCCGACGAGAAGUUCACUAGUCUCUAUUGCAGUGCUCGUCGUCAAAAUGAUGCAGUGCGCUUCUGUUGAGCGUGCAGUGCCGAAGUGGUGUGCAAAAUAGUUAUUCUGUUAAUAUUAGCAGAAUAGACCGUCUGUAUAUAUAUAUAUAUAUAUAUAUAUAUAUAUAUAUAUAUAGUUUUUUCUACAUGUAGCCUUUCAGAGCCAGUGGCAUUUGCCUUGGUGCCUUCGGAGCACAAUGACAAUUGGGAGUAAUUCAUUGGGGCGGUAGCGGGUAGUAGAAUUCCCCUUUGGGAUCUAUGACCUCGUCGAACAAAAAUCCCGCUAUUUCCUCUUGAAGUGCUCAUAUGCGCUCCUCUGGUAGGAGCGUCUCCCGCACCGAUUCGAACUGUUAAGAAGGAGAUCAAUAUGCAUGUGUAUUAGUUAUGUGACUAGAAAUCGAUAAUGACGUAAAAAAUGUCAAUAGUGUUCUGUCAAGCGCGCGUACCCAUAGCUGUCUCUCAGUUUUGGUCCUUUCGGGCGUCAUCAUGCGAAUGUUCUCGAAAAUGCAGUAUGCACAAUGAUCUCUCCCCUGCGCCUGCUUCAGGGCCUUUACGAGAAUAGAAUUUUAUCAGAUAAUAAUUAACCAAGCAUGAUAAUUAAUGGUAUUGAAACUAGAAUUAAAGAGAUGCAUGGUAGCUAGCUAGCUAGUACUACUUAAUUAAUUAUACCUUGGGUGAAAACCAAUACAGCUUUUCUCUCCAUUCGCCCGGAACCUCUUUCGAAUUCCUAAACUUUUCCCAAGCCCUGUCUGAUGAUGUUAUGUACCUAGGAUAGUGUCAUGGACCUGUCUAAGCUACCCUACCCAAGGACAUCUCUAGAAGAAACUACCUGUCAGUCAACCUAGAGGUGACCCACUCGACGUACUCUAGGACACUCGACGAUGAAGAUAACCACUCGACCAUGAAGCUAACCACUCGACGGUCAGGAGACCUAAAGUCACUCUGCACGCAACGGUCUGUCAUUAAGUAGCUUUAAUAGUCUUCAUAGCACUUUAUGUGGGCGUUACCAGUAACCCCCUGUCUUAAUGUACUUUAAACCCUGCAUAAUUGAGGGCCGGAGGAGUCUGACGAACUCUAUAUAAGCCACCCCCCUCCUUAGUGUAAAGGGUUCACACCCCUGUAAUUCAUACACAUAUAAUCCAGUCGACCGCCUCCAGGCUCCGAGACGUAGGGCUGUUACUUCCUCCGAGAAGGGCCUGAACUCGUAAAUCUCUCGCGUAUACAACUACUCCAUAGCUAGGAUCUUGCCUCUCCAUACCUACCCCCUUUCUACUGUCAGACUUAGAACCACGACAGUUGGCGCCCACCUUGGGGCAGGUGUCUUAGCGACUUAUUGGAGAAGUUGCAAUUUUUCCGGUUUCUUUCAUCAUGGUUUCAGGCGGAGUUUUGGUCGAGGGCCGCGAGAUCCGUCUUGGCGUGCUCACGUUCAUCGCCAACGACUCUGCUUGGCUUCAGGAGGCUCCACUCGACAUCGACGCGCUCCCGGUCCGCGGAGCGACACACUUUCGCGCGUGUGUCCACGGCAUCCUCCUGAGGCAACCGUCGACCCAGUAUCGGUCGGUCGUCGUGUCAUCCUCCCUCCUUGCUUCCCGCCGGCGCAAGCGCUUCGGUCGGUCGAGGCUUCAGCGGUGGGUGAGGCACGCGGUGGCUCGCCAGUUGACCACCCCCCAAGUUGCGGCUAUCGAGCCCGACGAAUCUCUCUACGGCCUGUUCGACCUGCGACUGGCUCCGUAGAGACUGCAUCCGAGUGCGACAUCAGUGAUCCAGCGGCGGAGGUUCUGAUGGUCAAUGGACCGCGCAGUCCCCCCGGCUUCCCCCGUGCUGACGGAGGCGACGGCGGAGGCGACCCAGCGCAGGUCCACGAGGAGUAUCAACCCGAGCCACUCACUUCGCUGCAAAGAGAAGAUCUUCACCGCCGGAACAUGGAUGCGCUGCAUACUCCUAUCAUUGGAGAAACCCCCGAGGCUCGCGCCUUGGAGGAUGUGCGUUUGGCCAACCUGGCUGAGCGCACUCGACUGGAGAACCUCCAGCAAGCACUCGACGAAUGUGCGUGGCAACGGGCCCCGGACUCCAGUCGACGCCAGCUCUUUCCACCACCUAUUUAGGUAUAUCGGACUCCGAUCCAAAAUUUAGCAGCUGCAACCCGUAUAGCAGAGUCAAUUCAGCCUUCCCGGUCAGAGGCUGGCAGAGGCUUGAUGCAGAUCAGAGAUUUGCUCCGGGUGGCAGGAGAUCAAAAUUCAGCCGUAUCAUAGUCACGGAACAGGAUUCACAGCAGAUCCGUCGCUGCGAAUUCAGUCCAGUCGGCCCAUAGCCCAAGAUCGCCCCCGCGGCAUGAAGGACGUGGAGGUCGACGUGAUCAGUACGAUGACCGAUUCGACCGCGACGAUCGGCGUCGAGUGCCCACUCCUCCCCCAAGGGGUGGGUCGUACGCCCCUCGACAGCAAGAUGACAGGCGCCAGCACAGUGUUGGAAGAAGGGUUCCAGUCGACCCCAGAGAAUCGGGCUUUGAUGCGAGAUCCAUUAUUGUUCAGGGUUUGGUCGACCGGAACAGAACUCACCGAGACGGUCAUGAUAGAGAUGCGCCCACCAGCAACAGAGUUCAUGUUGCAGGACCAGAGUGUUUUAGCAGAGCCAUCAGAGCCGCGGUGAUCCCUCCCAACUUCAGGUUGGCGACUAGAGUUAGUAAGUUUACUGGUGAGUCCAAGCCCGAUACUUGGCUUGAGGACUACCGAGUGGCUGUGCAGAUUGGCGGCGGCAAUGAUGAGGUGGCCAUGAAACAUCUACCUCUUAUGUUGGAAGGAUCGGCCAGAGCAUGGUUGAAUUAGUUGGCACCAAGCAGCAUUUACACUUGGGAAGAUCUUGCCCGAGUGUUUGUCAGGACAUUUGAAGAAACUUGCAAGCGACCGGCAGGUUUGACAGAGCUGCAGGUUUGCGUGCAAAAGUCGAAUGAGACCCUAAGGGACUACAUCCAGAGGUGGAUCACAUUACAUCACAAAGUGGAGAAUGUAUCUGAUCACCAAGUAGUCUGUGCCUUCAAGGAAGGCGUUAAGAAGAGGGAGUUAAGUUUGAAGUUCGGUCGGACCGGAGACAUGACUCUGAGUCGAAUGAUGGAAAUUGCCACCAAAUAUGCCAAUGGUGAAGAAGAGGACCGACUCCGGAGUGGCAAGUACAAGCCGACUGCUCAUGAAACUGGAGGAGGGAACUCCAGUCGGAAGCAGAAGCAGAAAGCCGAGCCAGCUGCUCCUCGAGAAGCCUUGGCCGUGACUCAGGGCAAGUUUAAAGGAAAGCCCAAAGGAUCUUGGAACCCCAAGAAGGUGAAGGACAAGGAAGGAAACGACGUGAUGGAUUUACCAUGCCACAUCCACACGAAGAAAGACGAGGAGGGUAACUUCAUUUACCCGAAACAUACCACUCGCCAGUGUUGGCUCUUAAUCCAGUAGUUUCAGGGGAAACAACCCAAGGAUAAGGAAAAAGAGUCAGACAAGAUUGAGGACAAAGAGGACAGUGAUGGAGGAUACCCCCAUGUCAAUUCCACCCUGAUAAUUUUUGUUGAUGUUGAGAGCAAAAGUCGAUUGAAAGUUAUCAACCGUGAGGUAAAUAUGGUUGCUCCGGCGACACCCAGUUAUCUGAAAUGGUCCCAGACCGCCAUCACGUUCGACCAGUCUGAUCAUCCGACACACAUAGCCACCCCUGGGAGGCAAGCUUUGGUGGUCAACCCAGUCAUCGAAGGCACUCGACUGACUAAGGUUCUGAUGGAUGGCGGCAGCGGCCUGAAUAUAUUGUAUGUGGAGACGCUGAAGGGAAUGGGCAUUCCGAUGUCCAGACUCAGUUCCAGCAACAUGAGUUUCCAUGGAUUCAUUCCUAGGAAGAAGGUUGAGUCACUUGGCCAAAUUGCUCUUGAUGUGAUUUUCGGCGAUUCAAAGCAUUUCCGCAAAGAAAAGCUGACAUUUGAGGUUGUGGAUUUCCAGAGUGCCUAUCACGCUAUUUUGGGCAGGCCAGCUUAUGCACGUUUUAUGGCUCGACCAUGUUAUGUGUACCUCAAAUUGAAAAUGCCCGGCCCCAAAGGUGUGAUCACUGUUACUGGUAAUCGCAAGAAGGCGGAAGAGUGCUUUCAGAAGGGCUCAAAGAUUGCCGAUGCUCAGAUGGUAGCAAAAGAGUGGCGGGAACACUAGAAAAAUGCAGACCCGAGUGAUUUGUUGCGAGCUAAGAAGCCUGCUACAGAGUCGGUGUUUCAAUCGUCCGGUGAGACAAAGCUAGUUCACAUCCACCCGACCGACCCCAACAUUGCCCUGACUCAUAUCUCCACAACACUCGACUCUAAAUAGGAAGAAGCGCUCAUCCAGUUCCUCCGUGAGAACUGGGACAUCUUCGCAUGGAAGCCUGCUGACAUGCCGGGUGUUCCCAGGGGGCUGGCUGAGCAUCGUCUAUGAGUCGACUCAAAAGUAAAACAUGUCAAAGAACAUAUUCGAUGGUCUGCCGUCCAGAAGAGAAAGGCCAUUGGCGAGGAGGUGGCUCGGCUCCUAGCAGCAGAGUUUAUCCGAGAAAUUUACCACUCCGAGUGGCUCGCCAAUGUUGUCAUGGUCCCCAAGAAGGACAAGUCACUUAGCAUGUGCAUUGAUUUCAAACAUAUCAAUCGGGCCUGCCUGAAAGAUCAUUUUCCUCUCCCCCGCAUCGACCAAAUAGUCGACUCAACUGCGGGAUGUGAGUGCCUGUCUUUUUUAGACGCUUAUUCUGGUUACCAUCAGAUCCGUUUGUAUGGACUCGACGAAAUCAAAACAGCUUUCAUCACUCGAUUCGGGUGCUUCUGCUAUGUCACCAUGCCAUUCGGCCUCAAGAAUGCUGGAGCCACGUUCAUGAGGAUGAUUCAGAAGUGUUUACUCACUCAAAUCAGUCGGAACGUGGAAGCAUACAUGGAUGAUAUUGUGGUCAAAUCACGGAAGGGUUCCGAUCUGUUGACUGACCUCGCUGAAACAUUUGCCAAUCUCAGGAGGUAUGAUAUCAAGCUUAGUCCAUCAAAGUGCACAUUCGGAGUUCCUGGUGGAAAGUUACUCGGUUUUCUCGUUUCCGAACGAGGAAUCGACACCAACCCAGAAAAAGUUGGCACUAUACUCCGAAUGAAACGCCCUGUGCGUGUGCAUGAUGUCCAGAAGCUUACUGGUUGCUUGGCCGCGUUAAGUCGAUUCAUCUCUCGCCUCGGUGAAAAGGCAUUGCCUCUUUACCGACUGAUGAAGAAGUCAGACAAGUUCGAAUGGACUCCAGAAGCUGAUGCAGCGUUUGCAGAGCUAAAAGCUCUGCUCUCCACCCAGCCGGUGCUUGCUGCUCCAAUCAGCAAAGAGCCUUUGUUGCUUUACAUUGCAGCCAUAGGACAAGUUGUCAACACAGUACUUACGGUCGAGCGGGAAGAAGAAGGGAAAUCCUUCAAAGUUCAAUGCCCAGUAUAUUAUCUUUCCGAAGUGUUGACCCCAUCGAAGCAAAGAUACCCUCAUUAUCAGAAGCUUGUAUAUGGGAUUUACAUGACCACGAAGAAGGUUGCUCAUUAUUUCUCUGAUCAUUCCAUUACAGUCGUCAGCGACGCCCCAUUGUCAGAGAUUCUGCACAACAGAGAUGCAACUAGUCGAGUGGCAAAAUGGGUGAUUGAACUCCUUCCCCUUGAUAUCAAGUUUGAGGCAAAGAAAGCCAUUAAGUCGCAUGCAGUAGCAGAUUUCAUCGCCGAGUGGGUUGAACAGCAACUACCGACUCAAGUUCACUCGGAGCAUUGGACCAUGUUCUUUGACGGUUCUAAGAUGUUGAAUGUUUCCGGUGCUGGGGUAGUUUUGGUUUCCCCCCGAGGAGAUAAGCUCAGAUAUGUGCUCCAGAUCCACUUUGAUUCCUCCAACAAUGAAGCAGAAUAUGAAGCACUUUUGUAUGGGUUGCGCAUGGCCAUCUCACUCGGCGUCCGUCGCCUUAUGGUUUAUGACGACUUAGAUUUGGUGGUCAAUCAGGUGAUGAAGGAGUGGGACGUCAGAAGCCCAGCCAUGACUGGUUACUGCAAUGCAGUAAGAAAGCUGGAAAAGAAAUUCGAGGGGUUAGAGCUUCAUCAUAUACCCCGACUGAAGAAUCAAGCAGCCAAUGAUUUGGCAAAGAUAGGUUCCAAGAGAGAAGCCAUUCCCAGUGGUGUGUUUUUGGAACAUAUCCUCGCGCCGUCAGUUAAAGAGGACCCUUUCACCGAAGAAGCCCCCAGCCGAAAAGUACCAUGGAUCCAACUGAAGUCGAGGUCCCAGCCGUGGUCGACCUGAUCAUGGAAGUUUUGGUUAUCACUCCCGACUAGACAGUGCCUUACAUUGCAUAUAUCCUAAGGAAAGAGCUCCCAGAGAAUGAAGAAGAGGCUCGACAGAUCGUCUGUCAAUCCAAGGCCUUUACUGUCAUAAAGGGACAGUUGUACAGAGAAAGCGCGACUAGAGACAGUCAGAAAUGCAUAACGCCGGAAGAGGGUCAAAUAAUUCUCAACGACAUCCACUCGGGGACCUGUGGCCAUCAUGCAUCCUCUCGGACUAUUGUGGCUAAAGCAUACCGAGCGGGAUUUUACUGGCCAAGAGCAAAUGAAAUGGCAAAGGAGAUAGUCGACAAGUGUGAAGGAUGUCAGUUUUACUCCAAUAUGUCACACAAGCCCGCCUCAACCUUGAAGACCAUUCCACUCGUCUGGCCUUUCGCUGUAUGGGGAUUGGAUAUGGUCGGACCACUGAGAACAGGAAGAAGCGGCUUCACCCAUGUGCUAGUGGCAGUUGACAAGUUCACUAAGUGGAUUGAAGCUAAACCCAUCAAGAAUCUUGACGCCGGCACUGCUGUCAGCUUCAUCAGGGAGUUGAUAUUCAGAUAUGGAGUUCCACAUAGCAUCAUCACUGAUAAUGGGUCAAACUUCGAUUUCGAAGAAUUCAGAGCCUUUUGCACAUCUCAGGGCACACGAGUCAACUAUGCUUCAGUCGCUCACCCCCAGUCGAAUGGACAGGCAGAACGAGCAAAUGGUUUAAUUCUCAAAGGGUUGAAACCCCGACUGAUGCGCGAUCUCAAGCACAUGGCCGGUGCAUGGGUCGACGAACUUCCGUCAGUACUUUGGGGAUUAAGGACCACACCUAAUCGAUCGACUAGGAGAACUCCGUUCUUCUUGGUCUAUAGAGCCGAAGCUGUCUUGCCAAGUGACCUGCUUCACAACGCACCCGAGUCGAACUCUACACUGAAGAUGAAGCAGAGCAAGCCCGACAAGACGCAGUCGACCUCCUAGAAGAAGAAAGAGAGAUGGCAAUGAUCCGAUCAACUAUUUAUCAACAGGACUUAUGUCGUUUCCAUGCCAGAAACGUCAAGAGUCGAGCCUUCCAAGAAGGAGAUUUGGUUCUCCGAGUGGAUCAGCAGAAGCCACACAAGCUUGCUCCUACUUGGGAAGGUCCCUUCAUCAUUACCAAAGUUCUCCACAAUGGAGCAUACCGCCUUUACAAUGUUGGUCACCAGAUUGACGAACCCCGGGCCUGGAACGCGGAGCUGCUCCGCCCCUUUUAUACUUAAGUGUAGACUCGGAUGAGAUGUAAUAAAAGUACUUCUGUACUUUAUUUAUCAAAGACAAGAGUGUUAUAAUUUUCCCAGUGAUUGUUGUUACUUUUGUUUACAUGAGAAGUCCCCCAGUGGGUGGCUUAGUUGCGAAUCCGUUUCGCCUAAGUUUGUAAAAAAAUCCUUGCCGAGUGACGAGCCAGUCUCCCACUCGGGGGCUUAGCUACGAAUCUGUUUCGCCUAAGUACUUUCAAAUCCUACCGAGUGGUGAGCCAGUCUCCCACUCGGGGGCUUAGCUGCGAAUCUGUUUUGCCUAAGUACUUUCAAAUCCUAUCGAGUGGUGAGCCAGCCUCCCACUUGGAGGCUUAGCUACAGUCCAAGUACUCGCCUAAGUUCAAAAUUCCUACCGAGUGGUGAGCCAGCCUCCCACUCGGAGGCUUAGCUGCAGUCCAAGUACUCGCCUAAGUUUAAAAAUCCUACCGAGUGGUGAGCCAGCCUCCCACUCGGGGGCUUAGCUGCAGCCCAGUGCUCGCCUAAGUUUUUGAAAAUCCUACUGAGUGGAGAGCGAACCUCCCACUCUGAGGCUUAGCUGCAGCCCAGUGCUCGCCUAAGUUUUUGAAAAUCCUACCGAGUGGAGAGCGAACCUCCCACUCGGGGGCUUAGCUGCAGCCCAGUGCUCGCCUAAGUUUUUGAAAAUCCUACCGAGUGGAGUGCAAACCUCCCACUCGGAGGCUUAGCUGCAGCCCAGUGCUCGCCUAAGUUUUUGAAAAUCCUAUCGAGUGGAGAGCGAACCUCCCACUCGGGGGCUUAGCUGCAGCCCCGUGCUCGCCUAAGUAUUUGAAAAUCCUACCGAGUGGAGAGCGAACCUCCCACUCGGGGGCUUAGCUGCAGCCCAGUGCUCGCCUAAGUUUUUGAAAAUCCUACCGAGUGGAGAGCAAACCUCCCACUCGGGGGCUUAGCUGCAGCCCAGUGCUCGCCUAAGUUUUUGAAAAUCCUACCAAGUGGAGAGCAAACCUCCCACUCGGAGGCUUAGCUACAGCCCAACGCUCGCCUAAGUUUGAAAUAUAUUUUGACUCACAAGGAUGACGAGGUACAGGUCGAAUGAUACCUUCUCCUUCUGAGUUCCGCCACAAAUACAAUGUGCGCUAUGUCCUGACCCGCAAGGAUGCAGGUCGACUGCAACUUGUACUCCAACCUGCAAGAGUACGUCACCGGCACUAAGAUAUAUCCUGAGUGAAAAGCAGUGUUCACUCGAAAGCAGAUGCAAACUUAUUCAACGGUAAAACCAAGUUCAGAUAGCACCCUACGGGUCCAGAAGUGCUCAGGCGUCAAGCCUGUUAAAGUUUAUCGGUUACAAAACCACUCGGCAUUCCGAGGCAAAUUUAAGGCAUAGAAGUUUUUUACUCCUCCGGUGGAGGACUGGAAGGCGCGGCGAACUCAUCCAGGUCGAUUCCAUCAGCAAUCCGAGUGGCAGCAGCAAUGAAUGUCUCCAUAAAGGAUCGGAAGUCAUGCUUUUUAGUAUUGGCCACCUUGAGGGACGCCAGCUUUUCCUCUCGUGUGUCUUUGCAGUGAACACGGACUAAAGACAGAGCUACGUCAGCACCGCACCUGGAAGAAGACUUCUUCCACUCUUGCACUCGGCCUGGGACUUCAUUCAGUCGAGUCAUCAAAGACUCGAGGUCGUUCUGAAGCGUAUCCCCUGGCCAGAGUGUCGUGUCGAUUCGCGAUGUUGCUGCCUUCAACCUGGCCAGAUAGUCCACCAUGCCAGCGACACGGGACUCUAGUCGAAGCACAUUCAUGGCAGCCUCAUCCUUCACUGGAGAGUUGAUGGGGUCCAAGCCUGUCUCCACUCGGCCGGUCUCUUCCUCAAAGUUUUGGCAGAAUUCUGAAAGCACAAGUCAAACAUAAACCAACUGAUCCGCGACAAAUCAACGGUGACAAGUCAGUUGAGUGAAAAAAGGUUACCUUCAAGCAUGAGAAACAGCUUCUUGGCGAGCCCUCCCAGAUAAGCUUCCAGAUCAUUCUUCUUCCCCACCAGUUCACUCGGCUUGUCACUCAGAGUGAUCUUGUCUUUCUUCAGACGGCUGACUUCCUUGUUGGCCGCGUCGAGAGCAGAUUUCAGGUUGACAUUCUCUUCUUCGAGUUUGUCGACUGAAGCCAGCUUCUCUUCCGCAAGCUUUGUUUUAUCCAAUGCAGCCUUCUGCACCUCAGCAAGUUCCUGGUCCUUUUUCUUCAGAGCCUCCUUCAUUUUUUCUGCAAAAUGACAAGGAAGUCAGAAUCAAUAAUGUGCGGAAGGAAGGAAACAGUCGUCAAGUUCUCACCAAUCGUACCUUUUGCCUCGUCCUUCGCCUUCUGAAAGUUCUCCUGAACAAGUUUCAAGUCAAGGUCGAGCUGGAUAUGUUUCUUUUCCAAAUCAGUGUAACGGGCCACGAGCUCGCAGGAUUUCUACAAAGAGUCAGUCGACAAACAUUAAAGAGAGGUUACUUCCGAGUAACUAAGAGAAAAACAAUAAACGUUUCUAAGACUACAGUAGAAUCAAAAGAUUCAACAGUAGUCUCGGGGACUACACCCAGUGGGUACACUCAGCGUUCCCCCACUAGUUCUACCGACUCGAUCCGAUCAGUCGACCCAUAAAAAAUGAAAGGAAAGAGGGAGUUCUUGAGACUACAGUCGACUGCCAGUAGUCCACCAUAGUCUCGGGGACUACACCCAGUGGGUGCACUCAGCGUGCCCCCACAGGUCCUAAUCUUACACUCGACAUGGUUCGACCAGACCGAAUGAAGAGAUGCCAACUACAAAGAUUAAAGGCGACUGCCAGCAGUCCACCAUAGUCUCGGGGACUACACCCAGUGGGUGCACUCAGCGUGCCCCCACCAGUCCACAAACCCAAUCGACACACCCAGUGGGUGUACAGACACAAAGAUGGUUGGAAAGGAAAUCUUCAGAUAACAUAUCCUAACAGAACAGGCAGUUACCAACUAACCUGGACAUUGCUCUGAAGGGCGGAGCUUGCAUCGUAAGCUGCUUGACUGGCUUCCCGGAUCGCCUUCACCUGCUCCAUCAUAAUCCCCGCCUGGCGUAUAGCCUCUUUAGCUGUGCCCGCCUGGUCCUCUGGGACGUGGUGCGGGGAGAAAAGAGAUGGCGGUUCAGCAGUCAACGACGAAGGUCGGGCACUCGUCAGCGGCACAACGAAGGUCACAAAAUGCCGAGUGAUGUGGCCACCUUCUUGAACCAGUACCUCAGGUGCUGACGCAGUCCGAGUGGUCUUGCCAGCCACAACCUGUCUAUUCUUCCUCACCCUUAGGGGCACCUCGUCAUCGUCAUCAGGGAGAUCAAUGACGUGAUGAGGAGCUGCAAGAUAAACCCAGAAUUGGAAACGAAGAUACAAUCGACCAAAAACAAAAACUACAAAGAGAACGUACCGGGGUUGGAGGUGACAGCGUCUUCCAUUUCUUGGUCACCAUCCUUAGCGGAGGUCUCGGAGGUAGCAUCGCUGCAGAUUUCAGAAACCAGUCGGUUAAUCGACGAGUCGGCCGGAAGUUCGCUCGAGCUAAACAAGGAAGCACAAAUCCUGCUGAUUACCCAGAGAUGGUGGGAAUGACCAUUUACAUUUUGGGCAUGGCCUUCGGCGGCUUGGAUGACUCCGCCCGCGGAUGCUUCGGCACUUUUUCAGUCGGCGCCGGUGAGGCCGCCCGAGAGCGCUUUGUCGAUGGCACAACGGGCACAGCCGCUUUGCCGUGCUCCCUCGCGGGGUUGUGGGCGAGCUUGGAUCGCCUUUCCGUGCGAGGAGGAUCGACCUCCAUUUCCUCCUCCUCCUCACUGGAGCCGUCUUCAACCUCUUCCCCCUCGCCGUCAGAUUGCCACUCCUCUUCCUCACUUUCACCUCCACUCGCCUCUCCUUCCUCAGCUUGUUCCUGCGCCCCGUUAGGCAUCGAGUACAUUUCAGUCGUGUCCUGGAAGACAACAAACAAGACAAAAGUCAGUCGAUUGAUCUCAAACAGACAGAAUGGAAAAAACAGAAUUGCGGCUGGAAAUGUCAAAUUGGACCUUGUCAACUUCGUAUGAUUGGUCAAGUGGAACGACCCUCCUGGCUCCUCGGGGGUUGUCCUUGUUCCCCGUAAUGCUUCCCAUCCACCGCUCCAACGUGGCAUCAUCGAUCUCCUCCGGGUGGAUCCGAGUGGUGUCCUCAGUCCUAGAGUACAUCCACAUAGGAUGGUCUCGAAAUUGGAGCGGCUGGAUGCGCCGCCGCAGGAAGACCUCCAAGAGGUCCAUACCAGUCACCCCAUCGCAGAUGAGCUGCACGACACGCUCGACCAGCACCUUCACCUGCGCCUUCUCCUCCGGGACCACCCUCAAAGAGGUGGGCUUCUGCACUUGUUCCAUGGAAAAGGGAGGGAGCCCGGUUGACUGCCCUGGCGUCGGCUGGUCUUUGCAGUAAAACCAAGUCGACUGCCACCCACGGACGGAGUCGGGCAAAACCAUGAUCGGAAAAGAACUUUUCCCUCUCAACUGGACCCCAAGGCCCCCGCACAUAUGAAUCACAUGUGUCCGUUCGUCACUCGGAUUUGCCUUCUUCACCGCCUGGGAGCGGCAGGUGAAGAUGUGCUUAAAGAGACCCCAGUGAGGUCGGCAGCCCAAGAAGCACUCACACAAAGACACAUAGGCGGCGAGGUACACUAUGGUGUUGGGCGUGAAAUGAUGGAGUUGUGCCCCAAAGAAAUUCAAAAAACCCCGGAAGAAAGGAUGGGGCGGCAAAGAAAACCCACGGUCGACGUGGGUGGCCAGAAGAACGCACUCACCCUCCUGAGGCUGAGGCUCUGACUCCCUCCCCGGGAGCCGCGCCAACCCAUGGGGGAUCAGCCCACCGUCAACUAGGUCAUCGAGAUCCACCUGGCUAAUUGUUGAACGGAUCCAGUCGCCCUGGAUCCAGCCCGGCGGCAGGCCGGUCCUCGAUGAAGAGCCACUCCGACUGGUUCCCCUCCCCUUCGCCUUCGCCGUCGCUUUCUUCGCCCCUCCAGGGCCGCCGUCCUCUCCUUCACCAUCGUCGCCGGUGAAACACGCACGGGGCAGCUACGCGGAGGCAGAGGCAAACGCAGCGGAGAAAUCUGGAGAAGAAGGAGGAAUGGGGGCGCACUAUUGAAAAACCCCGUCCGUCGCUUUAUAUAAGGCUGCUCCCGAGUGGCUGACACGUAGGCCCGGACGAUCCUGUCAAAUCCCAUAAUAGUCGCACGCGCGAUACGUGGCGAAAAAGGAGGCGCGGAGAUUGAGGCGUCCCUGCCUUAUCCCGUCCAAUUGCCGCGGCUACGCCCCGUCCCGCGCACUUCCCAAAAUUCAAAUCCCGCAAAAUCCGCGGCUUGCGGAACAGCUCGUCAGGCAGAAGAUCCCCUCCACUCCAUCGCUCGGAGCUCUCCAGGCGAAAACUUCACUCGACAGAUAUAAAGAAUGGAUCAAGGCGACUGAAAAAGAAGUUGAUGUUGUCACCUAAAAGUUCAUUGAUCCAAGAUAGGCCAUACUCAUAGCACGAAAUAUGGGUCGGAAGAAUUCUCAACUCCUUCCCCACUCAAACCUCGAUCCAUUCGGGGGCUAAUGAUGAUGUUAUGUACCUAGGGUAGGGUCAUGGACCUGUCUAAGCUACCCUACCCAAGGACAUCUCUAGAAGAAACUACCUAUCAGUCGACCUAGAGGUGAUCCACUCGACGGACUCUAGGACACUCGACGAUGAAGAUAACCACUCGACCAUGAAGCUAACCACUCGACGGCCAGGAUACCUAAAGUCACUCUGCACGCAACGGUCUGUCAUUAAGUAGCUUUAAUAGUCUUCAUAGCACUUUAUGUGGGCGUUACCAGUAACCCCCUGUCUUAAUGUACUUUAAACCCUGCAUAACUGAGGGCCGGAGGGGUCUGGCGAACUCUAUAUAAGCCACCCCCCUCCUCAGUGUAAAGGGUUCGCACCCCUGUAAUUCAUACACAUAUAAUCCAGUCGACCGCCUCCGGGCUCCGAUACGUAGGGCUGUUACUUCCUCCGAGAAGGGCCUGAACUCGUAAAUCUCUCACGUAUACAACUACUCCAUAGCUAGGAUCUUGCCUCUCCAUACCUACCCCCCUUUCUACUGUCAGACUUAGAACCACGACACUGCCCGCCGGCAAAGAAAAUGAAUAAACAAGUUAUUAAAUAGUUGAUAUCAGGAAAUGAGGAACUAAUUAAAGAGGCCGACAUAUAGUUAAUAAUGAUUGAAAUCACCUGUUGACUAUCCCCUUCACGGUUGUGUACUCUCUCUUCUCUUUAAGUAGUGUGUCCAGUACUUCAAUUGUUCCUUCGUCAACUUUAAUGAUUAACAAGAUCCAAUGGAAACUGCAUGCACACACGUUUGCAUGUCUUAAUUAAGCAGGCAUGUGCAUAACACUCAUCAACUAUCCUAAACCCUAUACACUUAAUUAUUAAUAUCUAGCUAGCUAGUAACUAAAAACAGAAUUUGAAGUACAAGACAGUGUGACUCACGUGUAGUUGUAAGGAAGUAGUAUAUGUUCAUUGGUAUUGAGGCGCUUCAAGAACUCUAGCAUGUUUCUCUCUACCUCUGUUUGAUACCAUGCAUAUCCCCAUGUUUCUUCAUUAAUGGUAUUUGGGUCAAUGAACCCAAUGCCAUAGCGUCCAGCUUUUUUCAUUUCAUACAUCUUCAUCCUGCAUAAUAUACCACAGAAAAGAAUAUAGUGAGGAUAAUUACAGGUAAUGAUCGAUCAAUGAGAAGUACAGCUAGCUUGAGACUUGAAUUACGGAAAGAAAUCACUUAUAGACAAUACAAACUGAUGAUGGAUUUGUCGAGUGCGUCUUGAUGGAAUAACUGAAAUAGUUCUGAAUACUCAAUGGAUAGAGCUAGCUUAUGGAAGCAAUACUCUUCCUUGACUUUCACCAUGAGGCCCUCUCGAUUGCUACUCUUGGUAAUUUUCAUGUACCAAUCAUGCAAUUGAUAUAUUCUCGUUGGGAGGUUCUUGACCUCCUUAGGCCUUACCAAAGGUUUGCCGCGGGCAUAUUUCCAUUUUAUCUCCUCCUCUUUAAGCUUAGGCAUGGGCUCAAUCUCGAGGAGUUGUUCAACAGUGAUGCCGAGCAUGUCAGCGUUCCGUCUAUGCUCCUCGGUUAUUACCAGCUGACCGGCGCUGGUACUCUCGUGUGUUGGUACAACAAGUGGGGGGAUCGAUUGCGCCGCCUGUUCUCCUAGCUGGGGAACGGUUUUCCCGCAUUUUUGGCCAGCUGCUUGGCUCGAGCUCGAGCUCGACCCGGCCUGUUGUCGUGCUCGAUGUGCCUUCCUGAUUUGGCGCUCAUAGUCUGAGUCAACAGGCUUGGGAGCUAGUGGUCGCGCCAUACCAAUAAAGUGGUCAAUCUUCUCCUCGAGCACUUUCUCCCUUGGCGGCGGUGCCGGUUUUGGUGCGAAAUGGGCCUCCACUUGGGCCUUCACUAUGGCAUCAUUUUUCUCCUUGGUCAUGUCGUAAGGCCUCUACGGAAGAGGCGCGAGGCUUUUUGGACCGUAUUGAAAUUGCUUGCCUCCGCCUGUACCUCCUGUACUACCUCGACUUGUAGCACUAUGCACCAUAGCCGUGGUGGCUCUCUUUCGCGAUUGCUGAGGCAGCGGAGACGGCUGACGCGGUGUCGGACUUGGAGGAGGAGUGGCACGCGUUGGUGGACUUGGAGGAGGAGUGGCCUCACACGUUGGAUGAGUUGAAGGAGGAGGAGUGGCCUCACGUGUUGGCUGAAUUGAAGUAGGAGGAGUGGCCUCACGCAAUGGCUGAGUUGAAGCAGGAGGAGUGGCCUCCCGCGUUGGCUGAGUUGAAGCAGGAGGAGUGGCCUCACGCGUUGGAGGAGUGUGAGUCGUCUGCUCCUCAUCACCUCCUGGAAUUUCAAGCUCUAGCUGACGCGGUGUCGGUGGUCUUGGAAAGAUGAUGCAAUCCUUUCUCCAUAGGAUGAUACGAUGUAUGGCCUCUCCCAGUGUGUGCUCCUCGUCACCUCCAGAAAUGUCAAGCUGUAGCCCUGAAUAACGGUCCACCACCUCCUCAACCAUGACACAAGCAUAGCCGGCUGGAAUUGUUUGGCAAUGGUAGGUUGCUCUGGGGGGAUUUGUAUAAGCAACGGCGUCCGCUGCCUUCAGGGAUAUGUUCUUUACUUUGAAGUGUAGCUCAUAGUUAGUGUUCUCUUGAUGUCAUCCACAAGGUAUCUAUCCAGCAGUGCGUAGCCCGGGGCGGAACCCACGCUGCUUCUCGGCAUGGAUGGGACGGUGCUAUCCAAUGCUGGAUCAUGCGCUAGCUGCGGCCGCUGCUGAGACCCCCUUUCCUGGCUAAGCGAGUCGAUCUUCUCCUGCUGCCUCUGGAAUUUGAGUGCCAAGUCCGCGUGUGCUGAUUCUAGGCCUUGAAGCCAUUCUGCUUCUUGCUUCCUCUGCUCGUCCUCCAGCUUCUUCUUCUUCCCUUCCUCCAUCUUCCUUCUCACACGGCUUCUGUAGUCGGUGUUCCACUCAGAAAAUCCCUCAUACCACGGAACAACGCCCUUGCCUCGUGUUCUUCCCGGGUGUUCAGGAUUUCCUAGGGCGCGCGUAAGCUCGUCGCUCUCUUUGUUGGGCGUGAACACCUCCGUUCGAGCUUCUUCUAUUGCUUCAACUAACUUUUCAUCGGCUCCAUCAAGACUUGCCUUCUUCAAAACCAAGCCUGUCUUCGGGUCCAAUGCCCCCCAUGUGCAUAGAACCAAUUUCUGCACCUGGGGGGCCAGCUCCUAGUAACUAGAGUGACCCCUGCAUCCACCAUCUCUUGCUCAGACUUAUCCGACUUAGGCAUUGCCACCGCGUAGCCACCUGGCCCUAGCCUAUGGAAUUGCUCCUUUUUGGCGGCAUUGGCCUUGUUUUUUCUGGACCGUUCCUUAGAUAAUCCUGAUUCCUUGAAUUUCACGAAAUCGUCCUAGUGUUCUCUUUGGUUCUUGAGUGUUCUCUUGAAUUCUGGAGUCUUCUUUCCUGCUUUGAUGUAGUCCUUCCAUAUAGUUUUCUUGUGGUUGUUGAAUGCAAUUGCCAUCUUCCUAAGAGCAGCGUCCUUGACUUUCUCCACAUCUGCAUCUGUGAAAUGAGCUGGUAGGGUGAAAUGUUCCAUGAGUUCUUCCCAAAGCGCAUUUUUUGCUCUGUCAUCGACAAAAGUAAGAUCUGGACGGGGCUUUGAUGGCCUUUUCCAUUCUUGAAGGGAGAUCGGGAGUUUGUCCUUCACAAGUACUCCGCACUGAGAACGAACUUGUUCGCAAUGUUCUUAGGCUCUAUUGGUUCGCCAUUAGUAUUGGUGGCCUCGAUGUUGUACUUUACGCCCUCCUUCAACUUUUUUCCCUUGCCUCGCACUCUGCCUGUAGAAGAUUUGCUCGAUCCGGAGGGCUGAAAAGAAGAAAGGUCGAUCUGUUAAUAUAUCUUCAAAUCAUUUAAAACAUGUGAUGAUCACCAGAUGCUUGCUUAUAUAAAUAUACCUCGUCGGUCUCUGUUUUAUCAAGAUCAACAUUUUCUUCGCCAUCAUAAUCAUUAAUUUUGUCGUCAUCAUAAUCAUUAAUUUCGUCGCCAUCAUAAUCAUUAAUUUCUUCGCCAUCAUAAUCCAUGACUUCAUCAAUUCGGUCGUCGCGAUUGAAUAUCAUAUCAUCACCCUCCCCGGUAUUGUUCAGAUAUUGGGAGCCGUCAUCUUCUUCAUUUCGAUUAUCUGGCGCGCGAGGGGAGCAUAUGAUAUCGAACAUGGCCUCUUCUCCCUCUCUGCCGGUAUUGUCCGCCAUAGCUUUUAUUUAACAAAUCUAGAAGAAAUAUAAAACAAUUUAGUAUUCAAAUUACAAUAUGCAUGCAUGCAAUCAAUAAGAGGAAAUCCUGAAUCAUAGUACAUAAUAUGCAUCAUCUCGAAUAAUAUAUAAUCUCGAAUACAUCGUCUCGAAUAUUAUAUAUCUAAUACGACAUCACUAGCUAGCUAGCUAAUAAAGAUCGAAUACUAUAGAAUAAUCCAGACCACUCGCGGUUCCCGAGGCGCGGGCGGUGGACACCCAAAGAGAAGGAACCAUCACAGGAUCAUAGCUCCGCUCAUCUCCCCAAAGACCCUUCCAGGUAUUGGAGAACCUGACGUCCAUAGCAGCCAUGUACCGACGGACGUGCUCAUCCUCCUCCCUAACACGGUGAUGCACCACCUCCGGCAGGGCCGGCUCCCUCCGCACCGAAAGUGGCCCACGGGAACGCCACCAAAGGAGCUCAGGGUCGACGAUGGGACCCGAGUUACUCACCAAGCGGAGAGCCCCUGAAAAUAGCACCUCCCAAUGCCAGCCCAGCGGAGCCCAGUCCCGGACAUGGGUCCUCUGAAGCAGGACGUCGUCGCGAACGGGUCGACGGCGAGGAUGCGGGCCGGGCAUCGUCGAGAACAAAUACUAUAUGCCGCAAAAGUAACAUUUUUUAAAUGAUUGGAUUGUGAUUUUUUAUAUGCAAAUUCUAAAUUUGUGUAACUAAAAUUAUAAGAAACUAAAAACUAACAUUUCUAUAACAAUUUGAAAUUAAUCUAAUUCAUCUAGCUAUAACUAACAUUUCUAAAAUUUCUAACAUUUCUAAUAUUUCUAUAUACUAUUUGACAUUAAUCUAAUCUAAUUAAUUAAUUCAUCUAAAACAUGUGUAUAAAAACAGAAAAAACUAAAAAAACUAAAAAUAGAAAAAACUAAAAACUAAAAACUAAAUGUGUGUGUGCGUGUGUGUGUGCGCGCAUGUGUGUGUCCACGCACACGAGCGCGCCCUGGCGGCGCGGCGGCUUCGAUUGGAGGGAGGAGAGGGGUCGGGGGGAGGGGCUCACAGCGCGGACGGCGAGGCCACGACAACGACGAGGUGCACGACGGACGGCGAGGCAGAGGGGAUGGGGACAGGGGCGGCGGCGACGGUGACGGACAGCGACGGGGACGGCAACAGGGGCGAUGACGGGGGCGGCGACGAGGGGCGGCGGCGAUGGGGCAGAUGAGGAGAAGAAGCAGAGGGAACGAACUGACGAAUUUUUUUGAAGUGCUCUCUUAUAUAGAACCUACCUUUAGUACCGGUUGGAGCCACCAACCGGUACUAAAGGUUUGUUUUGGCCAGGCAAAGCGGCGGGAAGCGCACCCCCUUUAGUAUCAGGUGGUGGCUACAACCGGUACUAAAGGCCCCUCCCCUUUAGUACUGGUUGGAGCCACGACCCGGUACUAAAGGGGGUGCGCUGGCUCCAGGCGGUGCGCAAGUUUAGUCCCACCUCGCUAGUUGAGGAGCGCCGAGGCCAGUUUAUAAGCCCCGGCGCGGGCACUGCAUUGAGCUCCUCUCUAAAGCACGCCUUCUAGGCCUACCUGUGCUACUCUGCCCUGUUGGGCCUACUGGGCUAGCGGGCCUGCAUCCUGACCCAACUACAGGUUGGGUUUCUAGUCGUAUGCAGGCCCCUAUGGCCCAGUAGGUGAGCUUUUUUUAUUGAGUUUUUGUCUCAACAAAAAAUUAGUUUUUUUUCUUUUCUACUUUACUUAUUUUCAUUUAUUUAUUUUUGAAUAUUUUUUCUUUAGGUACAAAAUUGCAAACUUUCUGUUAGUGCGAGUAGUUUUCAAAUUUGAAUAGUUUAUUUUUUAAUUUAGUGUUUGUCUCAACAAAAAAUUAGUUUUCUUUCUUUUCUACUUUAUUUAUUUUCAUUUGUUUAUUUCUGAAUAUUUUUUCUCUAGGUACAAAAAAUUACAAACUUUCUGUUAGUGCGAGUAGUUUUGAAAUUUGAAUAGUUUUAAAAAAAUUAGUUUUUGUCUCAACAAAAUUUUAGUUUAUUUUCUGUUCUACUUUAUUUAUUUUCAUUUAUUUAUUUCUGAAUUUUUUUUCUAUAGUUACAAAAAAAUACAAACUUUCUGUUAGUGCCAGUAGUUUUCAAAUUUGAAUAGUUUAAAUUUGAAUUAUUUGACGAACUAAUUUGUAGACGAAGUGCAUCCAGUUUUUGCACAUAAAAUUUGAUCGCUUUCAAAUACCAAAACACAUAAGUACCCUAACUAUUACAAAGAUUCCCUCCGGUUUGUUCGAAGCGGCACUUUCUAGAUAUAUAAGUCUGGAAAGUCACUACAGAAGAAAGUGAUGAUGGUGAAGCCUAUCACAUGCCAGUGUGGGAUCUUUGGGUGUGAAACUUUUUCUUCGCGUGUGUCCCUUUGCGCCGUAACCAUGGACAAUCUUCAUCAUUUAACUGGAUGCUCGGAUCAAUAUUCACUUUGAAUGGAGCAAUUUCAUCAAACUUUUCAUAAUCUUCUGACAUGUCUGUCUUGUCAUCCACUCCCACGAUGUUUCUUUUCCCUGAAAGAACUAUGUGGCGCUUUGGCUCACGUAUGAUAAAUUCGCUUCCUUAUCUUUUCUUUUUCUUGGCCUGGUAGACAUGUCUUUCACAUAGAAAACCUGCGCCACAUCAUUGGCUAGGAUGAAUGCUUCGUCUGCAUACGCAAGAUUGUUGAGAUCCACUGUUGUCAUUCCGUACUGCGGGUCUUCCGUUACCCGGCCUCGUGUCAUAUUGACCCAUUUGCACCGAAACAAAGGGACCUUCAAACCACCUCCAUAGUGAAGUUCCCAUCUGUCCUCUAUGUAACCAUAAUAUGUUUCCUUUCCCGUGUUGGUUGUUGCAUCAAAGCAGACGCCACUGUUUUGGUUCGUGCUCUUCUUAUCUUGGGCGAUCGUGUAAAAUGUAUUCCCAUUUAUCUCGUACCCUUUGAAAGUCAUUAUAUUCGAAGAUGGUAACUCGAACAGCGAGUACAUGUCAUCUUCAAUAUCGCCAUCAUGCAUGGCACGUGUCGGCAACCAACCGGCGAAAGUCCUCGUUUGUUCACGUGUAAUCCAGUCAUCAGACUGCUCCAGGUGUUUGGAGUAGAAAAUUCUUGUGUUCCUCCAUAUACGGAGACACCAAGGCGGAAUUCUGUAGAACUGUGUUGUGUGCUUCAGUGAGAGAAUGCCCAUCCAUACAUAUUAUUUGAUCCCCUCCUUGCGUGCCUUUUCCAUCCAGUCUGCCCUUUAACCGCGAUUCAGGAACACCAAUCGGCUUAAGGUUAGGAAUAAAGUCAAUACAAAACUCAAUGACCUCCUCAUUUUCAUGGCCCUCCGAGAUGCUUCCUUCUGGCCUAGCACGGUUAUGAACAUAUUUCUUCAAGACUCCCAUGAACCUCUCAAAGGGGAACAUAUUGUGUAGAAAUACAGGACCCAAAACGUUAAUCUCUUUGUAAAGCUGAGCUAGGACGUGCGACAUGAUGGUGAAGAAGGAUGGUGGGAACACCAACUCGAAACUGACAAGACAUUGCGCCAAAUCAGUUUGUAACUUGGUAUGAUUUCUGGAUCGAUUACCUUCUAAGAGAUUGCAUUGAGGAAUGCACAUAGCUUCACAAUGGCUAAUCGAACGUUUUCUGGUAGAAGCCCCCUCAAUGCAACCGACAACAGUUGCGUCAUAAUCACGUGGAAGUCAUGAGACUUUAGGUUCUAGAACUUUUUCUUUGCCAUAUUUAUUAUUCCCUUUAUAUUCGACGAGAAGCGAGACGGUACCUUCAUACUGAGCAGGCAUUCAAAGAAGAUUUCCUUCUCUUCUUUGGUAAGAGCAUAGCUGGCCUGACCCUGAUAUAUGCCAUCUUUUCAGUGCAUACGUUGUUGGUCCUCCCGUGCCUCUGGUGUAUAUUUUGUCUUCCCAUACACGCCCAAGAAGCCAAGCAGGGUCACGCAAAGAUUCUUCGUCACGUGCAUCACGUCGAUUGCGGAGCGGACCACUAGGUCUUUCCAAUAUGGCAGGUCCCAAAACAUAGAUUUCUUCUUCCACAUGGGUGCACGUCCGUCAGCGUCCUUCGGAACAGGUUGUCCGUCAGGACCCUUUCCAAAGAUUACCUUCAAAUCCUUGACCAUAUCAUGUACAUCAGCACCAGUAUGGUGGCGAGGCUUCGUCCGGUGAUCCGCCUCACCUUUGAAAUGCUUGCCUUUCUUUCUUACGGGAUGCCUGCUUGGCAGAAAUCGACGAUGUCCCAGGUACACAUUCUUCCUACAACUAUCCAAAUAUAUACUAUCGGUAUCAUCCAAAUAGUGCGUGCAUCCGCAGUAUCCCUUGUUUGUCUAUCCUAAAAGGUUACUGAGAGCAGACCAAUCACUGAUGGUCACGAACAGCAAUGCCUUUAGGUCAAAUUCUUCCUAUUUGUGCUCAUCCCACGCACGUACACCUUUUCCAUUCCACAACUAUAAUAGUUCUUCAACUAAUGGCCUUAGGUACACAUCGAUGUCGUGCCGGGUUGCUUAGGGCCUUGGAUGAGCACUGGCAUCAUAAUGAACUUCCGCUUCAUGCACAACCAAGGAGGAAGGUUAUACAAACAUAGAGUCACAAGCCACGUGCUAUGGUUGCUGCUCUGCUCCCCAAAAGGAUUAAUGCCAUCUGCUCUUAGACCAAACCAUAUGUUCCUUGGGUCACCUGCAAACUCCUCCCUGUACUUUCUCUCAAUAUUUCUCCACUGUGACCCAUCAGCGGGUACUCUCAACUUUCCGUCUUUCUUACGGUCUUCUCCGUGCCAUCGAAUCGCCUUCGCAUGCUCUUUGUUUUGGAACAACAUUUCAACCGUGGUAUUGUAGGAGCAUACCACAUCACCUUUGCAGGAAUCUUCUUCCUGAGGCGCUCGCCCUCGACAUCACCAGGGUCAUCGCAGCUGAUCUUAUAGCGCAAUGCACCACAUACCGGGCACGCGUUCAAAUCCUCGUACUCAUCGCGGUAGAGGAUGCAGUCAUUAGGGCAUGCAUGUAUCUUCUGCACCUCUAAACCUAGAGGGCAGACAGCCUUCUUCGCUUCAUACGUACUCUCGGGCAAUUCGUUGUCCUUUGGAACCAUAUUCUUUAUCAUUACCAGCAACUUUCCAAAUCCCUUGUCAGAUAGAUCAUUCUCUGCCUUCCAUUGCAGCAAUUAUAGUGUGGUGCCCAGCUUUUUCUCGGGUAUAACAAUUUCCUGUGAUCCUCUAACAUGCGCUGCAACUUCUUCUUGUCCUUUUCACUUGCGCAGUUUCUCUUUGCAUCGGCAAUGGCCCGACCUAGAUCAUCAGCGGGCUCAUCUGAUGCCUCUUCUUCAGCUUCUUCCCGCACGGCCGGCUCAGCUUCCUCCCCCAUUGUUGUAUCAUUGUAUUUAGGGAACCCAUGGCUAGGAUAGCUAUCGCCAUCCUCUUCUUCUUCAUUGUCUUCCAUCAUAACCCCUCUUUCUCCAUGCUUGGUCCAAACAUUAUAGUGGGGCAUGAAACCGGACUCAAACAGGUGGACGUGAAUGGUUCUUGAGUUAGAGUAAUUGUGACCAUUCUUACAGCCAGCACAUGGACAAGGCAUAAAACCAUCCGCCCGCUUGUUUGCCUGAGCCACAAUUAGAAAAGUAUGCACGCCAUCAAUGAACUGGGGAGAGCAUCGGUCAUCGUACAUCCAUUGCCGGCGCAUCUUCAUUACACACCACCGAAUAGACCAAAUUAAUACAAGUUCAUACAUAAAGUUCAUAUACAACACUUAAAUGCAACAUACAAAUAACUCUCUAGCUAAAGAAUUUAAAUGCAACAACAAAUGCGAUCAAGAUCGCAACUAAGGUAACAAUUGAUCCAACAGCAUAAUGAUACCAAGCCACACUAUCAAUAGCAUAUUUUCUAAUCUUUCUAAUCUUCAACCGCAUUUUCUCCAUCUUGAUCUUGUGAUCAUUGAUGACAUCGGCAACAUGCAACUCCAAUUCCAUCUUCUCCCCCUCAAUUCUUUUCAAUUUUUCUUUCAAAUACUUGUUUUCUCUUUCAACUAAAUUUAACCUCUCGACAAUAGGGUCGGUUGGAAUUUCUGGUUCACAUACCUCCUAGAUAAAAAUAUCUAUGUCAACUUCAUGGGCACAAUUUUUCAUAAACACGAAAUGCAACAAAUAGUUUUAAAAGAGAAUAUACCACAUCCGAAUCAUAACACGGACGAGGGCCGACGGGGACGGAUAUCAAAACCAUGGCACUAUGUAUAACAAACAACGUAUGGGUAAGAUAAUUAUAAAACUAACUAUAUAUCUAAAUCACACAAACAUGAUUUUUUUAUAUAAAAAGAUAAGAACAAGAGGCUCACCACAAGGUGGUGCCGGCGACGGGUCGGUGCGGACGAUCGACGGUAGUUACGACGGAGACGGGAAGGCACUAAGUAAACCACACCUACAUAUGCAAACUAAGAGUUAUUUUAAGCUCAAAUUGCAUAUAAAUCAAAUAUACUACCACAUAUAAUUCCUCCCAAAUUACUAAAACCCACAAAUUAAUCACUAUAUAAAGCAUUGCAAGAGCUAAUCUAGCAAUGAGAGACGAAAGGACAAAGUUCCUAACCUUUGUGAUCACUUGAAUGGAUGGGGGCCUUCAAAUCUUGACAAAAUUUGGGCAAAAUGUGUGAUGAGAUCGAGGGGAGAAGAGGAAGAACAGAGAGGCGAGGGGAAAGGGGAAGAACAGAGCGAGCUCGGGUGGAUGAAGGCUUUAUGUAGGGCGACCUUUUAGUACCGGCCAGUACUAAAGGUGGUGGAGGGGCCCCAGACUGACAACAUCCUGCCACCACUCUCUUUAGUACCGGUUCGUGGCACGAACCGGUGCUAAAGGUUCACCAUGAACCAGUACUAAAGAGAUCCUCCUGGCUAGCUGUUGGAACCGACACUAAUGGACACAUUAGUGCCGGCUCAAAUUCAAACCGGCACUAAUGUGUCUCACAUUUGACCCUUUUUCUACUUAUGCUAUACUACUGGUGACUAUGAAGGUGGCUAGUAUAUCCGCCACCAUAAUGUGCGGCAGUAAUCAAAACGGUCGGAUAGUAAAAAAAAUCAAAACCACUGAUUUAACCUCUAAUGAUUUAUCACAUCCUUGUAUCGAUGUUGGAGUAGUAACUUGUUCUAUGACAUGAGUUAAAUAGUAUUACACUUCUAUUCAAAUAUUAGUCAUGUUGCAUCAAUUAUUACCUUCCUAUCCAAAUAUUAGUCAUGAUUCAAAAUACACCCAAAAAUGCAUCCAGAAAUAUACUAAUUAGAUACAAAAAAUGGAUAGUAUUACCUGGGAUGUUGGAAUAUCCAAAGAAAUAAAAACAUAUUGAAAUAUGAAGCCCCAACCAUCACUGUUUGGAAAUUCCUCCAUUAGGACAUUACUUUGCUAGGUCAUGGGAUCAAGAGCAAAUAUACUGAGAGCUUGCAUAGGUGGAUCGAUUACCAUCUUUGAUGAUGGUGUCUAGAAUUGAUUUUCACUUUUUUUAUCAUGAGGAUCCCUAGAACUGCCAUUGGAUGAUUUUCUUGUACUUUCUAUCUUUCAUCCUCUUCCUUAUUGUGUAUAUAUGAUUUUUUUAAUUUAUAAAGAAAGGUCAUGGAACCGUUGUUCUAUGAUUCAUGGCUUAAAAUAAUAGACUAACAGGUCACCUUGUUCAUGCUCUAGCAAAUUCAAGGGCCAUAUUAUUUGGCAGCGAGUUGUACCUAGUUAAAUUCAAGUAUUUGAAAUGAUAUACUUAUAGUAGAAGUAGUAACAGACAAAUUAUGUCUUGAAGACCUUAUACCAUGUACUCGACAACAUGACUUUAUUUCUCUUGUACAUAACACAAUACUCAACUAUACAACACACACAUGUAACAAUAUUCUGGCAAUUCAAAUGUAUGACCAACAAAUAUUUCAUGACAUCAUGCUAAAUCUCCAAGGCUUUUGAACAUUUCAGCCCAUAUCCAAAAGGAAAUAAUGGAUCAUAGUCAACACCUCCAAUAUUUAUAGGUAGUUGAUCAUCAUAACUAAACCAAGUUACAGGCAACGUGCCCAAAAAAUCAUGGUCUCCAAAGAGGCAAUCAGCAACUCCCAUGCCCUCACUUCCAGGCAGCCAAGCAGCAACUAGAGCAUCUACCUUCUAAACAACUGGUGGCUCAAUAACCAAGGUCCUUCCAGAAAUAACAAUCGCUAGGGUAGGGACUUUACUAGCAACACGAGUAAUAAGAUCAGAACCAUUUAAUGGAAUACUAAGGUCAGUUCUAUCCCCCCCAAGCUUUCUGCAUAGGGAACCUCACCAACUACAACAACUACAUAAGAAAAUUUGCCUGUUUUAAUGGUAACAUCUAGGCAUCCUUCAUACAUAACUUCGGUUUCCACUUCCAUAUAUAGAUUCUUGUAUGGCCUCUAAUAUGCUUGUACCUAUUGGUUUUGAUAGCUUGAUUAACUCCUACAUCAUAGUGUGGACUAAACUAGAACAUAGUUUUAAUAAAUAAAAUGAAACAAUUCUGAAACAACCCCUAAACAGUAUGUUCCAACGCAAACAACUUAUGCUUCAAUUUCUAAACAACAAUUUCACAUCUGUGUAUGCAACAUGGUACUUGAAAAUGGGUCAUAAUUUAUCCUUAACUACUAAUCAUCCAACCUAGAAUUUCCAAAGAGAAUGAUUUUUAUAAUAGGAAACAAAUAAUUGGAAGUGUCACUCAAAUGUAAGGUCGUUUGUAAUAUAUUCUCCUGGAGUUAAAAUUAUUUGCUUACCAGGAGUAAUAUUUCCACUAUCACGGUGCCAAGCUAUUGUCCACUGAUGACCCACAAGCAUAGGGGAUCAAUCGUAGUCCUUUCGAUAAGUAAGAGUGUCGUCGAACCCAAUGAGGAGCAGAAGGAAAUGACAAGCAGUUUUCAGCAAGGUAAUGUCUACAAGCACUAAAAUUAUUGGUAAUAAGUAGUUUGGUAGCAAGAUAAUUUGUAAGAAGCAAGUAACGGUAAUGGUAAAUAAAGUGCAGCAAGAUAGCCCAAUCCUUUUGAGGCAAAGGAUAGGAUAAGACGGUCUCUAAUAAUAAGCAAAGCGUUCUCGAGGGUGCCUGGGAAUUUCACCAUAUCACUUUCAUCAUGUUGGCUUGAUUCAUGUUCGCCACUUUGAUAAUUUGGUAUGUGGGUGGAUCGAUGCCUAGGUGUUGUUCUUACUUGAACAAACCUCCUACUUAUGAUUAACCCCCUCGCAAGCAUCCUCAACUAUGAGAAAAAUAAGAUAAAACAUAACCGUAGCAUUAAACUUUUGGAUCCAAAUCGGCCCCUUACGAAGUAGCGCAUAAACUAGGGUUUAAGCUUUUGUCACUCUAGCAACUCAUCAUCUAAUAACUACGCUGGUACAUGUCCAUUGCAUCUACUUUUCCUAAUGCUUUUCCCCUUGUUUUGGACUCUAAUUUGCAUGAUUUUAAUAAAACUAACCUGGACUGACGCUGUUUUCAACAGAACUACUAUAGUGUUGUUUUUGUGUAGAAAUAAAAGUUCUCGGAAUGGAACGAAACUUUACGAGGAUUUUUUGUACAAUAAAAGAUAAUUUCUGGAGCCAAGAACCACCGAAGGGGGGCACCUGGGUGGGCACAACUCACCAGGGCACGCCACCCCCUCCACAAGCACCUAGGUGGGUUGUCCCCACCUGGUGGCCCCGCAGACCCUGAAACCGACGCUAUAAAAUUCUAUUUUUCCAAAAAAGGGGGGAAUGAAUUAUCGCAUUUCACAAGACGGAGCCGCCACCGUCUCCUGUUCUUCAUCGAGAGGCCUGAUCUGGAGUCCGUUUGGGGCUCCAGAGAGGGGGAUCUUCGAUCUUCAUCGCCAACCCUUCUCCAUUGCCAAUUCCAUGAUGCUCCCCACCGGGAGUGAGUAAUUCCUUCGUAGUCUCGCUGGUCGGUGAGGAGUUGGAUGAGAUUCAUCAUGUAAUCGAGUUAGUUUUGUUAGGGCUUGAUCCCUAGUAUCCAUUAUGUUCUAAGAUUGAUGUUGUUAUGACUUUGACAUGCUUAAUGCUUGUCACUUUGGGCCCAGGUGCCAUGAUUUCAGAUCGGAACUGUUUAUGUUAUCACCAUUAUAUAUAUGUUCUAGAUCGGAUCUUGCAAGUUAUAGUCACCUACUACAUGUUAUGAUCUGGCAACCCCAGAGUGACAAUAGUCGGGACCACUUUCGAUGAUGACCGUAGUUUGAGGAGUUCAUGUAUUCACUGUAUGCUAAUGCUUUGUUCCGAUUCUCUAUUAAAAGGAGGCAUUAAUAUCCCUUAUUUUCCAAUAGGACCCCGCUUCCAUGGGAGGGUAGGACAAAAGAUGGCAUGCAAGUUCUUUCCAUAAGCAAACAUGACUAUUUACGGACUACAUGCCUACAUUAUAUUUAUGAACUGGAGCUAGUGCCGUAUCGCCCUAGAUUAUGAUUGUCUCAUGAUGAAUAUCAUCCAACAAAUUGCCGAUCCAAUGCCUACAAUUUUCCUACAUAUUGUUUCUGCUAAGUUACUACCGCUAUUGUUACUGUUGCACUUGCUACAAAACUACUUCUAUCACUAUUACUGUUACUAUUGUUGUUGCUACUACUAUCAAAACUAUCAUACUACUUUGCUACUAAUCACUUUGCUGCAGAUAAUUAAUCUCUAGGUGUGGUUGAAUUGACUACUCAGCUGCUAAUACUUGCAAAUAUUCUUUCGCUCCCCUUGUGUCGAAUCUAUAAAUUUGGGUUGAAUACUCUACUCUCGAAAACUAUUGCGAUCCCAUAUAUUUGUGGGUUAUCAUACUCCACAAUGCAUUCCCUUAGGCCCUAAUAAGGUGAAGUGUCAUGUAGACGACGUUCACAUGACACCACUAAGGGAAUCACAACAUGCAUAUCAUCAAAAUAUCGAACACAUAUCAAGUUCACAUGAUUACUUGCAACAUGACUUCUCCCGUGACUUUAAGAACAAAAGUAACUACUCAAAUAUAUAUAUGUAGAUCAACAUAUAUAUAUCAAUAAAUUAGAUCCAAUGGACAUAUGCGAGCCGCCCCCGCCGUGUUGAGCUGUCGGGGUUAUAUUGAGUCUCCGGUCUGCCUGAGCCACCUCUGUCGCAAUAAACGAAUCAUCUGUCGUCUAAACAAAUCAGGUGAUACCCAUCCAACUUUAUUUUAUUAUCACAUGUUGUUUUUGUCAAAGAACAAGUUUAUCUUUGCCUUGGUCUGCAAUAUUGUUUAUGCAGGGCAAUUAUUUAUGACAAAAAGUGAUAUUAUACCGCGGAGAUGAAGGCACGCCAACAUCUUUUGGCACAGGUGGUCGUUAUUACUCAACGGACUCCCGCACUGGUUUAGAACACCGUGGCCGUCUCUCGCGACCACGCCGGCUUACAACAAGGAGGACAACUUGCCCGUCCGCACUGGCUUAUAAUGCCAUGGCCGGUUCAUCUGUCUAUGCCACUUUAGAUGUUGCGGUCGUCUUUGCCGUCCGUCUCUCACGAACGAGUCUACAUCAACACAUCGGGUCGCACCUGUCUGCAUGAGCUGUUUAUUGACUAUGAGCAAGUCACUACUUGGGAAGCCCGGUUUUCUUCCAACAAAUUGGAGGUAAAUUAUCAUGUGUUAUUAGCCGUCGUCUGCACCGGAUGGCUCAAUGGGCAGACGCACAAGUCGCUGCCACUACGGUUUGGUUAACUUCAAACAGCCAGUUGGAAGGAACCAUUGGCCGAGUUGCUGACACGGUUCAUAAGGGAUCAUUUAUAACCGCCGUAGUCACCUCGACCUUCUGCGGAUUCACAUCGCGUUAUCAGCGUCAAUAAUAUACACCUUUUGCUAUGGUCAAAUAUGGAGAAUCUCAAGCCAACUCUUCGAGUCAUCUUGAGACUCGGGGGCUACAAUGGUAAGGCUCGGACAAAUUAGCCGGUUUCAAUGGAUUCAAAAACUCCGGGUCAUUGGAGGGAAGGUAACCCGGUUCCCGAGGCUACCGCUAUAUUGGUGAAAAAAUUUAAAGGCCAUCAGAAAAUUUCCGGCUUAAAAAAAGGACUCCGGUUUAAAAUCCGGUUCAAGAGACAUCUCUCUCCCACAAAGCACUGACACUCUUAAUAUCUGGUUUUAAAACCGGUUCAAGGGAAAUUUAUUUACCGGAAGGCUUUGAUGCUCUCAAAUCCGGUUCAAAUCCGGCUCAAGGUAAAGUUAUCUCUCCCAAAGUUUUGAAGCUUUCAAAUCCGGUUUAAACUUCCGGUUCAAAAAGAAUUAAUCUCGCGCAAAGUUCGAGUUCUCAGACAAAUUAAUGGUUACCAAAGAGAACUUGCUGUCAUGAUGCACGGUUCAAAACAUAGGUAUCCUGCCUUACGGCUUAUCUUAUUAUGAUUACUUGGGGGCUUCCUGCUCAUCGGGCAUAGCUAUCAGUACCCUCUUGAUCGGCGCAAUGCCAAAACUUAUAUGGUCACUUGGGGGCUUCCUGUUCAAACAUAGGUCGUAUUCAAACCAAAGAGAACAUAACUGUCGAUACCCUUUUGAUUACCAAACUGCUGAACCUACUUGGGGGCUUCUUGAUCGUAUCCGAAUCAUAGCUCAACCCCUUUGGGAAUCGACGUGGAUCGUAUUCGAAUCAGCGUCAUUAAACAACUUUUAAAGGUCAUUUGGGGGCUUCCUAUUCAAACAUAGGUCGUAUUCGAACCAAAGAGAACAUAGCUGUCGAUACCCACUUCGAUCGGCAACGCCAACGCCACUGGGGGCUAUAUGAUCGUAUUCGAAUCUUAGCUUAACCCCUUUGGAACGGUUUACUGAUCAUAUUCGAAUAAGAAGCCUCAAAUUUUUUAUCUGUUUUUAUACAAUCGUAAGUAUUUGAGUUGUCACAAAUAUCAUAUGUGCCGGCUCUUACAGAAUCAACUUCACUGUCCGGGUCACAUAAACCGGCGGUAUCAUUCAAAGGAUCAUAGGGGUCUUGUAAUCUACUUGUGUGCAGGAUAAGACUACAUUUGGGUGGUUACCCGCCCUGGCUCUUGACGUUAAGUCGCCAGGGCAUAUGUUGUUUAAACUCUGUGCAAAAUUUGCAGAAUUAUGACUUAUAUAAAUGCUUCAGUCCAAGCUCAUCAUUGAAAUUGGUGUCUCAAAAGGGUUAUCAGUUAUUGAUUUGCUCAAGGGCUAUAGGCCACCGGGUUAUAAAAAAUCCGGCUUACAAUGAAUGCGCAUUAAGUCAUCAUCGGCCAAAAGCCGCCAGGUAUUUAAACUCCGGAUUUACUUGUCAACCGAUGAGGUAUUCAAAUCUUUAAUAGCCAAAAUUGGCUAGAUUUUCAUGAUGAUAUUGAAUGAUUGAGUUUUUCAUACCGGAUUAUAUUAUUCAAAUCUUGAAUAGCCAACAUGGCUGGAUUUCUAUUGUGAUUAUCAAUAACCAGUGUUAUGACUGAGGUUUUCAAAGUCGCUUUAGCGCAACAGCUAUUAUUUUAUCAAUGGAUAUGAUUUAUUCUACAAUGGAAGGAAUAGUCCCGAGUCGCUAUAGGCUUACAACCCGGCACUUGGUGGCUACAUUAUUCAAGUUGAGAUUACAUCAAAUAUGCAAGUCCCAUGUCACUGCCAGCAUGCACCAUGGAACUUGGGGGCUAAUGCAAAGUCAUUUUUGCUCACCUCAUUGAAGACCCGACUCAUCACAUCAUAAUGAGCCGGCCCUUGGGGCUACCAAUUGCUCCUGUCAAUAGUUCAAGGUACACAAGUCUUAAUCCAUUAUAUUGAAGGAUCCAUUGCUCAGUUGGUAAAGCGCAAAGCUCUUAACUUUGUGGACGUGGGCUCAAGCCCCAUGGUGGAGAUUACAUCAUAUGAUGUUAUUAUCAAUGAAUUAUAUACAAAGUCCCAGCUCAGUAAUAUCUUACUAAGCCGGCCCUUGGGGGCUACACUGGUUGAAGUUUUAUGAGCAUAAGGCAAUUACAAGUCCUAGGUUGCUGCAAGCAUGACAACCCGGUACUUGGGGGCUAUAGGUGAUAUACAUAUAAGAAAAAAAAUCUCCAAAUUAUUAGUUUUGAGUAGGUCAGAUUGAUCCGGUGUCACCAAUAAUUAUGACCCGGCGUCGGAAACAGUUAUUACCCGGUGCUAUCAAUAUUUACAAGCCGACAAUUUUGGCAGUUAUAACUAGCCAACCUCUACAUCUUUAAAUCGGCGGAUCACCAGAUGAAUCUUGAGUCCAAUAUGUUUAUUAAGCCAGAGCUUUGGAAACCGACUCAAAUGGAUUAUUUCUUAUAAUAUUUCUCAACAAGAGACCAAUGUCAGCAAAUUGACUCUGAAGCUGGCCUGUUGACCCGGAUUUCUCAAAGGAAGUAUCUGGAUCUUUUGCAUUGCUAAAAUUGGGACAUAUCUGCUAAGGAGAUUUGCUAUGAGAUCAUGGAUACAUAUCAAGAAAGAAAUGUCAAGGGCUUAAGGAUGAUCAGGUGCCGACUUACAAGAAUUUUUAACCCGGAACACAAUCUGUAAAAUUUGUUCUUUUGUUUAUUUUGCAGCAUAAGUUUACCAUGGAUAAAUCCAAGCUAAACUUGGGGGCUAAUGUCGGGGAUAUACCCUGCGGUGUAACCCGGCCGGAUGUAUAACCUGGCCGGACUUGGCGACUCACUAGUGACCCACCCUGACUGGACGACUCACUAAGUGACCCGCCUGGAGCUUGGCGAUUCACAGAUAACCCGCCCGAUAUUGGCGACUCAUUAGUAACCCGACGGGCGGGUUAGAUAGACAACAAGGCCCAAAGCCCAGAAGGCCGGCUCACGUUAUGAUGGGCCUGAUUAAAAGGAAAGGGAUGACAAAUAUUUCCUUUAUGAGGAAGCAAGACCCGGACUUGUAUUUAACUUGUAAGAGAAGACAGACUAGUCCUAGUCCUACUAGGACUCCACAUGUAACCCGCCCCUCUAACUUAUAUAAGGAGGGGCAGGGCUCCCCAAAGAGGGACAAGAAAGAAGAAACAAUAUCUAGGGCUAGACACAAAGGGAGAGCCGGCUUACCGCAGUGACUCUCUCAUGAUGAUAAUGAGAUCUAGCCUCAAACAGCAUGUAGGGUUGUUACCGGAUGAUGUUUCCCGGGGCCCGAAGCUGUCUAAACCCUUGUCUUGUGUCACGUCUCUCGAUUCCGAUCAACCCCUCUCAAGCUACUACAUAGAUGUGCUGUCCUCACGACUAAGUCCUUUUCACGAGGACAUCUGACGUGUUAAUUCCACGACACAAAUGAUAAUCAUGCUCAAGAUUAGAGGGAUAUUAAAUAGCAUAAUGGAUCUGAACAUAUAAUCUUCCACCAAAUAAACCAUAUAGUAAUCAACUACAAGAUGUAAUCAACACUACUAGCCACCCACAAGCACCAAUCUAAGGUUUUGGUACAAAGAUUGACACAAGAGAUGAACUAGGGUUUGAGAGGAGAUGGUGUUGUUGAAGAUGUUGAUGGAGAUGGCCCUCCCAAAGAUGGGAGAGUUGUUGGUGAUGACGAUAGCGAUGAUUUCCUCCUCCGGGAGGAAAGUUCCCCUGGCGGAAUUGCUUCGCCGAGGGCAAAAGUGCUCCUGCCCAAGUUUUGCCUCGAGAUGGCGGCGCUUCAUCCCGAAAGUCCUCCUUUGAUUUUUCUUUUCUAGGUCAAAAUAACUUUUAUACCAGAAGAUGGGCACCAAAGGUUGGCCGAGGAGGGCACAACCCACCAGGACGCGCCUUGAUAAGUCUCCAACGUAUCUAUAAUUUAUGAAGUAUUCAUGCUAUUAUAUUAUCAUUCUUGGAUGUUUUACAAUCAUUUAUAGCAACUUUAUAUCACUUUUUGGGACUAACCUAUUGACAUAGUGCCCAGUGCCAGUUGCUAUUUUUUGCUUGUUUUUUCCAUCGGAGAAAUUCAAUACCAAACGGAGUCCAAAUGCAGCGAAACUUUUUGGAGAUUUUUUGGACCAGAAGACAUCCAAUGGGCCAAAGAAGUGCCAGAGGGGAGCCCCGAGGGGGGCACAACCCACCAUGGCGCGCCCUAGGUGGGUUGUGCCCACCUCGGUGGCCUCCCGCACCGCCUCUUCGCCCUAUAAAUCGUCAAAUAUUCCAAGACCCUCGGGGUAACCCUAGAUCGGAUGUUCCGCCACCGCAAGCCUCUCUGUCCACGAAAACCAAUCUAGACUCCGUUCUGGCACCCUGCCGGAGGGGAAAAUCAUCACCAGUGGCUAGCUUCAUCAUCCCGGCGACCACCAUGAUGAGGAGGGAGUAGUUCACCCUCGGGGCUGAGGGUUUGUACCAGUAGCUAUGUGUUUAAUCUCUCUCUCUCUCUCUCUCUCUUUCUCUCUCUCUCUCUCUCGUGUUCUUGAGAUGGCACGAUAUUGAUGUAUCGCGGGCUUUGUUAAUAUAGUCGGAACAUAUGGUGUUUCCCCCUCUCUAUCUUGUUGUGAAUUGAGUUUCCCUUUGAGAUUUUGUUUUAUCAGAUUGAAUACUUUUAUGAAUUUGAGAACACCUGAUGUAUGUCUUGCAUAUGAAUACCCGUGGUGACAAUAGGGCAUUAUAUCGAUUCACUUGAGAUAUGUUUUGGCACUCAAAUCACAGAUUCCUGAGGUGACAUUGGGGCAAUCUAUGCAUAUGGGCUGAUGCACGUUCUGGUCUUUUGUUUCUCUGGUAGAAAUCUUGGGCACAAAUGGUUCUUUGUGUUGGAUUGAGUAUUAUGAAUUUGAAUUUGCUUUGGUGCUAUUUUAGUAUGAACUCUUGAUAGAUCGAUCAGAAAGAAUAACUUAGUGUUAUUUUAGUACGAACUCUUGAUAGAUCGAUCGGAAAGAAUAACUUGGUGUUAUUUUAGUAUGAACUCUUGGAUAUAUCGAUCGGAAAGAAUAUCUACAAACAAUUUCUUCUUAUAUUCUCCGCUAGAUACAAACUUUGGAGUGAUUCUUCAUCGCAUGUUGAGGGAUGGUUAUAUGAUCCAAUUAGAUUAGCAUUGUUGAGAAAUUGCACUAGCGAAAGUACGGACCCUAGGCCUCAUUUUCAAGCAUUGCAAUAUCGUUUGUGCUCCGUUUUAUCAAUUGCUACCUUGCUAUUUUUUAUUGUUCUUACUACAAAAACCAAUAUCUACUAUCCAUAUUACACUUAUAUCACCAUCUCUUCUCCAAACUAGUGCACCUAUAUUACCAUUGUAUUUGGUGUGUUGGGGAUACAAGAGACUUUUUAUUAUUUGGUUGCAGGGUUGUUUGAGAGAGACCAUCUUCAUCCUACACCUCCCACGGAUUGAUAAACCUUAAGUCAUCCACUUGAGGGAAAAUUUCUACUGUGCUACAAAACUCUGUGCUUGGAGGCCCAACAUGAGUCUACAAGAAUAAAGUUGCGUACUAGACAUCACGCCUGCGCUCCCUAGCACGCCCAGGUGGGUUGCGCCCACCUGGGGGGGGGGCUCUGGUAGUUAUUUGCUCCAAUAUUCUUUUAUAUAUUUCAAAACAAUUCUCCGUAAAUUUUCAGCUCAUUUGAAGAUGUGCGGAAUAGGUGACUCUAACAUAGCUUUUCUAGGUCCAGAAUUCCACCUGGCGGAAUUCUCCCUCUUUUGUGUAAACUUUGCAUAUUAUGAGAGAAAAUGCAUUAGAAUUACUCCAUAAAUCAUUAUUAUGCAUAAAACCAUUAUAAAUAACAGUAGGAAAACAUGAUGUCAAAUGUACGUAUCAACUCUCUCAAGUUUAUACCUCGCUUUUACUCAAGAGAAAACCAAAAUCGAAAAACAUGUCAACAUGCUUAGAGAGAGAGAGAGUGUGUGAGAACCUGGAAUUAACUUCCAGACCCUCCUGUGUAUAUUUGUCAACCCUAGGAUCAUUGUUGACAACACAGCGAAAUGAUAUCAUUGCACAGUAUGUAAAAGGAAUUACAAAUUUAAAUAUAUCUUGCCACAAGGCAUACCUAGAUAAAUGUCUCAUGACAUUUAUUACAUUCAGAAAAACAGCGGAAAGUACAAUGAGUAGCAACUCCAUCUCAUCCACAGGCAGUCGAUAUAGUCCACAUGACCUCACUCCUACAGAUUGCCAUAGUAGUCGUAGUCAUCACCUUCAUCUUCAUGGAUUUCUGUUGUUCAACAAAAAUAUUGCCAUGAGUACAUUACGUACUCAACAUGCCUCUAAUAGCUACAUGUGACUUCAAAGGAAGGCUGUAUGGCUCAUUUGCAUAAAAGCUAAUUUUGUUUGAAAAUAAUUUAGCAGUUGGAUAAAAGAAGUUUCUGAUGAAAACAUGUUUUAUCUCCAGAAUAACUUUCAUAAAGUGAGGAUCCUCGAUCAACUCACACUCUUCACAGGUUCCAAGAAUAUAGGGGAAAGAGAGAAUAAGAAAGACAGGUCCUGUAUGUCAAGAAAGAUUCAUGUGUCAUCCAUGACCGUGGACACGGCUAUUCGAAUAGUUUUACACUCUGCAGAGGUUGUAAACUUUACCCACAUGACACAAUCCCGACUUGUUGCCACUAGCCGUCACUAGCAUAGUACACCAUUUGGUAUACCGGCAGGGAGAUUGUGACGAGGUCUUUCACUAGACCAAAGUUACUGUGCCAAGCCCACUAGGUUUCAACACGGAAGUAACCGCAGUUCACAGUCCGGGCCCCCCUUUUGUGCCGAGGAUACUCCUCGCAAGGCAGCUAUCCCAUCUGCGGUACGGCAGUCACGACAAUAAGAGUGAACUAACUAAUUAACCAAGUCAAUGCCCAUAUAGCAUGUGGUUGUACUGUUAUCACAAUCUUCAAAUCCAAGACUUAUUAGGCCUCAUGCGGUACGGACGACUGAUUGUCCCCUUCAUUUAUGAAAGGCAGCCAAUCGCUCCUUCAAUCCUUGAUUCAGUUGUCGCCCGCGCCAGUAUUCAGAUGGUAAGUUUCACCCAGAGUAGAAGAGAAUAGAGAAGGUCAACAAGCGCCAACCGGCCUAGCUCAGUGGUAAGUUUCAACUGUCAAUGACUCAGAGGUCAUUCAACAAAGCACCUAUAGGGUAAUAAGCAUGGCUAAGCAUUUCUACUCUACAAGAAUACUACAAUUCUACUCAGGUGUCAAGUGAAUGGCCGACAAGCAGAUCAAGGUAAUGUGUCAAUUGACACACUAGCUACGAGAAUAAAAAGCAUGCGUGUAGUAACCAUAAAACUCAAUGCAAUUUUGUAAACAUAGGAUAAGUAUGAUCAAAGAAGGAGGCAUGCCUUCGUUGUUAAUUCCUUCUUUGAUAACCUGGUUUUGUCCAUCUCCAACAUCGUCGUCACUCCCUACUCAUAGUAAUGAUAGCAAAAGACAAACAAUAAAUAGAAAAGCAAUAGUAAAUCCAAAUCGAAACAAAAUUAAGUGGAUGGAUAAGAUAUUGAUCAAGAUGGAUAUUCCAGAACAAGGUAGCAUGAUAGGAAGGUAAGAGAUAUGAUUCAACGAAGGGACAAGGUUAAGUUGACACGAUUGAGGAAGGCUUUGCAAUCAAUACUAAUGUUCUGUUAUGAACUAGUAGUGCCCACCACACAUCUCGACUAACCAUGUAGAAACUACCGUAUAACGAACACACUGACAUCAGCACUCAUGGAAUGGAACCAUCCUAUGCAUUUUAACUACACAAACUCAACAUGACAUGAUAAAUGUGAAAGUUAACCAUGAUAAAUAUUUAGAUCUAUAGAAUCUAAAUAUUUAUAAUGGUCAGUUGCAACCAAGCAUAUACAUCAACUAUAUAAUAACUGAAAAGCAAGUGUUGCGUAAUACGACCAAACCAACAUUAUAGACCAUACUAGUUAAGCAAUCAAACAUCAUUCAACAACAUGAAUUGAAUGAUCUAGAUAUAGCCCUAAAACACAAUAAAAAUAAAAUAGGACCAAAUCCACUACAUCAAAUCAAUUCGUUUGUCAAACAAUUAACAAGAAACAAUACAACCCAUGGAACAAAUGGAUGAAAAACUAUCCUAGACAUGAUAUGAUUAAGAGUAAUGGUCAACCAAAAAUAAAUAUUCAAAUGAAUCCAAAUAUUUAUAAUGGUCAACAACAAGCUAAGUGUAAACCUCAAUCAUAAAACUAUAAAUAAGCAUUUUUAUAGCAAAGAGCCAAUCCAAUACUAUGGUCGAAACUAAAUAAACAAAUAAAUCAAGACACAUCUUCACACGAAGCAUGUGAGCAUAUUAUCACUAGAGGUCUCAAUGAAUAACACAUGUAUCACACACACGAGUGAUCAUGAUAAUAUACUAAACCUAGGAUAUGGUCUUAUUACUAAAGAACGACUAAUAUCAAUAACCACUAGCAGUUAUAAUAUCACCACAAACACAACUCAACUAACAUGAAAGAUAAACUAGUCUAAGCAAGCGAUGAAGUAUUGCAACACAUAUACAACACACAUAAUAGUAACAUGAGACAAGUCAAUCAUAUAAGAGCAACACAAGUACAACUAUAACACAUGGAACAUAAUAACCCAUGAAAGAUCACUAGCAUGACUUGAUGUCUAGACUUAGGCAUACCACAAAUGGAACAGUAAGAUAGACCAGAUAUGAUGCUAAGCAUGGAUGAUCAUCACACGAGAUACCAAAAUAUGCAACUAAUAAAAUGCAACGUGUAACUAUGAGAUAACCUAGUUGAUAACAAGUGACCUAAAGAUCAAGAACAACGUUAGCAUACAACCCUAGCAUGCUAGUUAUGAUAAAUGAGAACAUGGAAACAUACGAAGCACGUAGGAAAGUAUACAACUAGAUCAUCUCAUCAACCAAAUCAACAUGCGUUAUAGAAGCAUGAAUAUCAAGAUCAUGACAUGCAUUUCUAUUUAGUAUAACCUACAGUACAUCGGACACACAACUAUGCACCAUACAACACAUGAAUUGGUACACACAUGCUACACAGUUUGGUUAUACAACACCACAUAAUGGUAUUGUAUUGAUAAAGAAAGAUGAAAUCAUACAAAAACUAGCAUGUGUCUCUACCAAGCAAUAGCUAAUAAUAUUCACCAUCAUAUCAUAAAUACUAGCAAUGUUAUAACACAUGGAAUCACACAAUAAAACAACCAUUCAACGUUUGAGCAAGUGCUAGUAUGACAUGGUAUUGUCCUAGGUAAAUAAAACAUGAAAAUAAGAAAAUAAGAAAACAUGAACUAUUUAAUAAUUAGAGAAAUCAAACAAAGCUUAGAAUAAUCUUACAAAGUCAUAAGCAUGGAGACAAUUCACCAAAAAUCUGUACGCAUUCUCCACAUAGAACAAUAAACAGUACUAAGCAUUAUUUAAAUGAGAACAACACGAUUACGUAUCAAUGCUCCAAAUCUAAUUAAAAUAGUAACACCCGACAAGCAUGUACGAACAAUAAUAAUUCGAUACACCAAUCAACUCCUACACAUGGUAAGAAUUUGCAAAGACUUGUACAGAGACAUCAUAGGACUACGCACGCACCAAAGAAAAAUAUCAUCAAGAACAAACUAUAUUUGACAAUUUAAAUAAUCCUACAAACAUGACUAAUAAAUCACAUGACACUCUCAAAAAAAUUGAGAUGAUUAGCUUGCACUCCUAACAUAUCCGGAACAUAUGAAUGAUAAAAUAUUAGCACAAAAGUUCACGGGUGAAUUAUUACACAUGUGAUAAUUCACUAGACCUAUUGCAAACGCAUAUCACACUACUAUAUGAUGCAGGAAAUUAACACAUGAAACCGUACAAAACUAUAUUAAAAUAUAUCGUUCUAAUUAAAACAGCAACUGGAUAGAAUAGAUUUUAAAAACUGAGUUGCCGAUCUAGCAAGCUAGUUCCACCAAUAGGUUCCUAUCGUCAUAGGGAGCAUUUGAUACAUUCGGCAUGAAGUCAUCCGAGGAACAAAAACUAUGGAAACAUGCCGAUGCCACCGAAUGGCCUCUUAUUUUGGACGCACGUGGUCAACUAAAGAAAUAGGCCCUAAAAUGAUGCCUAACAGAUGGACAAGGUAUAGGGAAGUGAGCCUGCAAAAGGAAUUGGACAAGAGCACACUGAACUUGACGAAACAACGUGAUGAACUCGACGAACAGUGUAGACGUACAUGCAGAAUUCUUCGCGUGUGGUUGAUGGAUCGCGUUCUUUCUUCUCUGAAUGGAGCUGUGGCAUGGAGAGGGGCCUUGGGGCGCAAGGGUGCUGAUGGAGAUGGUCUACGCCAUCGGGAACAAGCACCGGCAUCCAUGGAACAGCAGCAGAUUGAGGAGGGUUCUUGGUAAAACAAAGAUGGGAGAAGGCAGGAGGGCUGAGAAGAAUGUAAGAGGAGAUCGGGGCGCUCGUCCAUGUACUCACGGAUUUGGAAACGGUGAAGUAUUAAGGAAGUUAGAGGAGGAGUGCAUGGUGGCUGUAGGUCUUCUCUGUACUGUGUGCGCUUACGUGAGGGUGGAGGAAGGAGAAGCGCUUGGGGUUGACGUUGGAAGAUGGGCAAGUAUCUUCAUAUUUGUAAAGGUAGCAAUUAAAGGGAAAGAGGAGGAGUUUCCAUCAUGCCUGUACGCUUCCUAUUCUGUGUGCCUUUUCUCUUCUCGUAUGUGUGUGUUGGUUGUUUCCCUUCUGGACUUGUUUUUUUUUUUGAGGGGUUCCCCUUCUGGAAUUUUUUUUUGAGCAUCAGUACAGACACAAGCGCUCAUAUACACGCGCAUACACUCACCCCUAUGAACGCACACACGCACACCCUACCCCUAUGAGCACCUCCGAGAGACUGAGCCGGCAUAUCAUCUUGAGAUUUACGAAGCCAACGUAGGCGCCUCAUCGUCGAUGGGAACGUCUCCUCCCACUGAAAGCGCAUCGCCGGAAAUCCUGAAAUAAAUCCAGGAAUAAUGCGAGCACCAGGAUUUGAACCCUGGUGGGUUGGGGAUACCACUAUCCACCUAACCAUCUCAACCACAGGUUGGUUCGCCCCCUUCUGGAGUUGUGAACGUACAGGAGGAGAGGCGUUCAUUGGAUGGGCCAAGUGGAUGGAAGCCCAUGUGGAGAGGAGGGGAGGGAAAAAAUAGAUGGGCUAAGCCCAUGUGACUUGAGAAAGAAAACAAAAACAAUUGGAUGAAUCCAGGGAAGAGAAGAAAGAUGUACAGAUGCAUGUAUUGGUGGAUUUGUCUCAGAAACAAUGUAUGCCUGGAUGGAAAGUAUGAGUAAGAUAGGUGGACAAUUCAAAUGGUAGAACGUAUCUAAUGGUCCGAUGGAAUUUGGCCCGAGAUUGAGAAAAGUAAAAGAAAUUGUUUUCCGUUUUAGGAAAUCUAGAGAAGGAAAAGAAGCUCGAGCAAUCAAACGAAUUUCAGAAAAAACAAAGAAAAACAAAGGCGCACAACUAAAAGAAAAGAAGUAAAAUCAAAUUUUUAAUUUAGGUUCACGUUAGUUCAAAUUAAAUCCUUCAAAUUAUAAAAGUCCAAUUCAAGCUUUAUUAACAAAUAAAACAAAUGAAAAUUUCUCGCCCUGAUUUUUGGAAAACUUUUUCUUAAACAUCCCGUGAAUUAGGAUGUUACAGAUCUACCCACCUUAAAAUAAAUCUCGUCCCCGAGAUUCAUGCUGACUAAAGAGAAUGGGUUUGGGUUAGCUUCGUCUUUGACACAGUUCUUCUCAAAAACAUGUAGAAUCACAGUUCAUUCUGAACUUGGUGAAAGGCGGCUUUGGGGUCUUGAUUGGAGAUACUUCGAUUGUCGAUACUUUAUCCGGCUUGCUCAAGGCUUGGACGCAGUCCUUCGGCCUUGGACGAUGUAAGUCUCAUAGCUUCUCUUAGCGGUUGAACAUUCUUCGGUCUUGCCCUUCAUCUUUGGGUGAAGCCUUGAUACGGCUGGAGUCAUUGAACUUUCCUUCUGGUUGAACUUAUAGUAGUUGUAGUAAAGAUCUUGAAAUCUUCGUAUUCUUUGCAAAUAAAGGUCUGCAAAUCUUCAGUCUCAACAUGAGUAAUCGUACUACCCCUCCCCCCCUUAAAAGAGGUUUUCCAUAAGGUUCACUUUGAUUAUAGAUCUCUGAGCGGUUGUAGUGGCUUCCUUGCUCUCAAAGUGUCUUCCAGGGUUUAUAGAGAAGAGAGAAAAGCAUAAAGAUGAGUAAUAGAAUCCUACAGAAGGCGGAGAUACCCCAGAAGAUAGACAAAAGAUAACACUCAGAUAAUCAUGAAACUAUCCACAUAUAACUCAAAAGCAACUCAUUUUGGCAAAUAUGGUUUAGUAUGACUGCAUUGGAAAAAACCAAAAAUAUGUAGACAAUACUCACACAAUAAAGGUUUUGUCUCCAAGCUAUGAGUUCUAUCACCACAAGGGUGUUAACCAAUCUAAUCCUAUAUGGCCGGUCACAAUAAAUCUUGGAGCAAAUCUUCAACGAUGAUGAACGGACCAUGAUCGAUGGUUGUUGACUUCUUGAGUUCUCGAAGUGUCUUCUCUUGAAAAAAUGUUGCUACUCAAAGCUUCACGGUUUGAAGUUAUCUUGAAAUUCUUGGCACAUCUUGUGAAGCUUCUAACUUUUCAACACCAAGGGCUAGAAAGGGGUUUCAUACUAUAAAGAAGAAGGUAGAGAAGUAGAGUUUAAACUUUGCUUGAAUAACACCAGUUAAGUAGAGAAAUAUAGAAGGAGAAGACUACGAGAACAUCCUUUUCAUAAAAAUAGUUUUUCUUAUAACAAUCGUCCCUAAGGCUUUCCAUUUCUAACUAAGGCCACGCGACUAGGUCGACAUCGUCUCUGAUACCACUUCUGUGAGAACCUGGAAUUAACUUCCGGACCCUCCUGUGUAUAUUUGUCAUCCCUAGGAUCAUUGUUGACAACACAGCAAAAUGAUAUCAUUGCACAAUAUGUAAAAGGAAUUACAAAUUUAAAUAUAUCUUGCCACAAGGCAUACCUAGAUAAAUGUCUCAUGACAUUUAUUACAUUCAGAAAAACAGCAGAAAGUACAAUGCGUAGCGACUCCAUCUCAGCCACAGGCAGUCGAUGUAGUCCACAUGACCUCACUCCUACAAAUCGCCAUAGUAGUCGUAGUCAUCACCUUCAUCUUCAUGGAUUUCUGUUGUUCAACAAAAAUAUUGCCAUGAGUACAUUACGUACUCAACAUGCCUCCCAGGGGAAGGUCCUAAUAGCUACAUGUGGCUUCAAAGGAAGGCUGUAUGGCUCAUUUGCAGAAAAGCUAAUUUUGUUUGAAAAUAAUUUAGCAGUCGGAUAAAAGAAGUUUCUGAUGAAAACAUGUUUUAUCUCCAGAAUAACUUUCAUAAAGUGAGGAUCCUCGAUCAACUCACACUCUUCACAGGUUCCAAGAAUAUAGGGGAAAGAGAGAAUAAGAAAGACAGGUCUUGUAUGUCAAGAAAGAUUCAUGUGUCAUCCAUGUCCAUGGACACGGCUAUUCGAAUAGUUUUACACUCUGCAGAGGUUGUACACUUUACCCACAUGACACAAUCCCGACUUGUUGCCACUAGCCGUCGCUAGCAUAGUACACCAUUUGGUAUACCGGCAGGGAGAUUGUGACGAGGUCUUUCAUUAGACCAAACUUACUGUGCCAAGCCCACUAGGUUUCAAUAAGGAAGUAACCGCAGUUCACAGUCCGGGCCCCCCUUUUGUGUCGAGGAUACUCCUCGCAAGGCAGCUAUCCCAUCUGCGGUACGGCGAUCACGAAAAUAAGAGUGAACUAACUAAUUAACCAAGCCAGUGCGCAUAUAGCAUGCGGUUGUACUGUUAUCACAAUCUUCAAAUCCAAGACUUAUUAGGCCUCAUACGGUACGGACGACUGAUUGCCCCCUUCAUUUAUGAAAGGCAGCCAAUCGCUCCUUCAAUCCUUGAUUCAGUUGUCGCCCGCGCCAGUAUUCAGAUGGUAAGUUUCACCCAGAGUAGAAGAGAAUAGAGAAGGUCAACAAGGGCCAACCGGCCUAGCUCAGUGGUAAGUUUCAACUGUCAAUGACACAGAGGUCAUUCAACAAAGCACCUAUAGGGUAAUAAGCAUGGCUAAGCAUUUCUACUCUACAAGAAUACUACAAUUCUACUCAGGUGUCAAGUGAAUGGCCGACAAGCGGAUCAAGGUAAUGUGUCAAUUGACACACUAGCUACGAGAAUAAAAAGCAUGCGUGUAGUAACCAUAAAACUCAAUGCAAUUUUGUAAACAUAGGAUAAGUAUGAUCAAAGAAGGAGGCAUGCCUUCGUUGUUAAUUCCUUCUUUGAUAACCUGGUUUUGUCCAUCUCCAAAAUCGUCGUCACUCCCUACUCGUAGUAAUGAUAGCAAAAGACAAACAAUAAAUACCAAAGCAAUAGUAAAUCCAAAUCGAAACAAAAUUAAGUGGAUGGAUAAGAUAUUGAUCAAGAUGGAUAUUCCAGAACAAGGUAGCAUGAUAGGAAGGUAAGAGAUAUGAUUCAACGAAGGGACAAGGUUAAGUUGACACGAUUGAGGAAGGCUUUGCAAUCAAUACUAAUGUUCUGUUAUGAACUAGUAGUGCCCACCACACAUCUCGACUAACCAUGUAGAAACUACCGUAUAACAAACACACUGACAUCAGCACUCAUGGAAUGGAACCAUCCUAUGCAUUUUAACAACACAAACUCAACAUGACAUGAUAAAGGUGAAAGUUAACCAUGAUAAAUAUUUAGAUCUAUAGAAUCUAAAUAUUUAUAAUAGUCAGUUGCAACCAAGCAUAUACAUCAACUAUAUAAUAACUGAAAAGCAAGUGUUGCGUAAUACGACCAAACCAACAUUAUAGACCAUACUAGUUAAGCAAGCAAACAUCAUUCAACAACAUGAAUUGAAUGAUCUAGGUAUAGCCCUAAAACACAAUCAAAAUAAAAUAGGACCAAAUCCACUACAUCAAAUCAAUUCGUUUGUCAAACAAUUAACAAGAAACAAUACAACCCAUGGAACAAAUGGAUGAAAAACUAUCCUAGACAUGAUAUGAUUAAGAGUAAUAAUCAACCACAAAUAAAUAUUCAAAUGAAUCCAAAUAUUUAUAAUGGUCAACAACAAGCUAAGUGUAAACCUCAAUCAUAAAACUAUAAAUAAGCAUUUUUAUAGCAAAGAGCCAAUCCAAUACUAUGGUCAAAACUAAAUAAAAAAAUAAAUCAAGACACAUCUUCACACGAAGCAUGUGAGCAUAUUAUCACUAGAGGUCUCAAUGAAUAACACAUGUAUCACACACACGAGUGAUCAUGAUAAUAUACUAAACCUAGGAUAUGGUCUUAUUACUAAAGAACGACUAAUAUCAAUGACCACUAGCAGUUAUAAUAUCACCACAAACACAACUCAACUAACAUGAAAGAUAAACUAAUCUAAGCAAGCGAUGAACUAUUGCAACACAUAUACAACACACAUAAUAGUAACAUGAGACAAGUCAAUCAUAUAAGAGCAACACAAGUACAACUAUAACACAUGGAACAUAAUAACCCAUGAAAGAUCACUAGCAUGACUUGAUGUCUAGACUUAGGCAUACCACAAAUGAAACAGUAAGAUAGACCAGAUAUGAUGCUAAGCAUGGAUGAUCAUCACACGAGAUACCAAAAUAUGCAACUAAUAAAAUGCAACGUGUAACUAUGAGAUAACCUAGUUGAUAACAAGUGACCUAAAGAUCAAGAACGACGUUAGCAUACAACCCUACCAUGCUAGUUAUGAUAAAUGAGAACAUGGAAACAUACUAAGCACGUAGGAAAGUAUACAACUAGAUCAUCUCAUCAACCAAAUCAACAUGCGUUAUAGAAGCACGAAUAUCAAGAUCAUGACAUGCAUUUCUAUUUAGUAUAACCUACAGUACAUCGGACACACAACUAUGCACCAUACAACACAUGAAUUGGUACACACAUGCUACACAGUCUGGUUAUACAAUCACCACAUAAUGGUAUUGUAUUGAUAAAGAAAGAUGCAAUCAUACAAAAACUAGCAUGUGUCUCUACCGAGCAAUAGCUAAUAAUAUUCACCAUCAUAUCAUAAAUACUAGCAAUGUUAUAACACAUGGAAUCACACAAUAAAACAACCAUUCAACGUUUGAGCAAGUGCUAGUAUGGCAUGGUAUUGUCCUAGGUAAAUAAAACACAUCGAAUAAUUAUCAAGAUGUAAUAAACUAACUUCUAUGCCACAAGAAAUAAAUCCUACAAAGGAACACAAUUAUAACAUGACAUAAAAGCAUCGAACCAUGUAAACUUGGAUAAUAAACAUCUAGAAAAGAAGAGGAACUGGGAAAUUAUAUUCUACACAACGAACUAUAAUAUACUCAUUUCCAAAGAACAAGACAUUUCAUUUAACCUCUAGCAUAAGCAAAACCAUGCGACACACCUAUAAGAAAAAUAACAAUAAUAUGAACAUCUAUUGUAGGAAUGACAUGAUUUCAAACCAAUAAAAUAAACAUGUGAGAUGGACGAACAUGAAUAUGUAAACUAUGUCUAAUAUAUCUUCAUGCUAAACAAUAAGAAAAUAAGAAAACAUGAACUACUUAAUAAUUAGAGAAAUCAAACAAAGCUUAGAAUAAUCUUACAAAGUCAUAAGCAUGGAGACAAUUCACCAAAAAUCUGUACGCAUUCUCCACAUAGAAUAAUAAACAGUACUAAGCAUUAUUUAAAUGAUAACAACACAGUUACGUAUGAAUGCUCCAAAUCUAAUUAAAAUAGUAACACCCGACAAGCAUGUACGAACAAUAAUAAUUUGAUACACCAAUCAACUCCUACACAUGGUAAGAAUUUGCAAAGACUUGUACAGAAGCAUCAUAGGACUACGCACGCACCAAAGAAAAAUAUCAUCAAGAACAAACUAUAUUUGACAAUUUAAAUAAUCCUACAAACAUGACUAAUAAAUCACAUGACACUGUCAAAAAAAUUUAGAUGAUUAGCCUGCACUCCUAACAUAUCCGGAACAUAUGAAUGAUAAAAUAUUAGCACAAAAGUUCACGGGUGAAUUAUUACACAUGUCAUAAUUCACUAGACCUAUUGCAAACGCAUAUCACACUACUAUAUGAUGCAGGAAAUUAACACAUGAAAUCGUACAAAACUAUAUUAAAAUAUAUCGUUCUAAUUAAAACAACAACUGGAUAGAAUAGAUUCUAAAAACUGAGUUGCCGAUCUAGCAAGCUAGUUCCACCAAUAGGUUCCUAUCGUCAUAGGGAGCAUUUGAUACAUUCGGCAUGAAGUCAUCCGAGGAACAAAAACUAUGGAAACAUGCCGAUGCCACCGAAUGGCCUCUUAUUUUGGACGCACGUGGUCAACUAAAGAAAUAGGCCCUAAAAUGAUGCCUAACAGAUGGACAAGGUAUAGGGAAGUGAGCCUGCAAAAGGAAUUGGACAAGAGCUCACUGAACUUGACGAAACAACGCGAUGAACUCGACGAACAGUGUAGACGUACAUGCAGAAUUCUUCGCGUGUGGUUGAUGGAUCACCUUCUUUCUUCUCUGAAUGGAGCUGUGGCAUGGAGAGGGGCCUUGGGGCGCAAGGGUGCUGAUGGAGAUGGUCUACGCCAUCGGGAACAAGCACCGGCAUCCAUGGAACAGCAGCAGAUUGAGGAGGGUUCUUGGUAAAACAAAGAUGGGAGAAGGCAGGAGGGCUGAGAAGAAUGUGAGAGGAGAUCGGGGCGCUCGUCCAUGUACUCACGGAUUUGGAAACGGUGAAGUAUUAAGGAAGUUAGAGGAGGGGUGCAUGGUGGCUGUAGGUCUUCUCUGUACUGUGUGCGCUUACGUGAGGGUGGAGGAAGGAGAAGCGCUUGGGGUUGACGUUGGAAGAUGGGCAAGUAUCUUCAUAUUUGUAAAGGUAGCAAUUAAAGGGAAAGAGGAAGAGUUUCCAUCAUGCCUGUACGCUUCCUAUUCUGUGUGCGUUUUCUCUUCCCGUAUGUGUGUGUUGGUUGUUCCCCUUCCGGAGUUGUUUCGGCAUAUCAUCUUGAGAUUUAUGAAGCCAUCGUAGGCGCCUCGUCGUCGACGGGAACGUCUCCUCCCACUGAAAGCGCAUCGCCGGAAAUUCUGAAAUAAAUCCAGGAAUAAUGCGAGCACCAGGAUUUGAACCCUGGUGGGUUGGGAUACCACUAUCCACCUAACCAUCUCAACCACAGGUUGGUUCGCCCCCUUCUGGAGUUGUGAACGUACAGGAGGAGAGGCGUUCAUUGGAUGGGCCAAGUGGAUGGAAGCCCAUGUGGAGAGGAGGGGAGGGAAAAAAUAGAUGGGCUAAGCCCAUGUGACUUGAGAAAGAAAACAAAAACAAUUGGAUGAAUCCAGGGAAGAGAAGAGAGAUGUACAGAUGCAUGUAUUGGUGGAUUUGUCUCAGAAACAAUGUAUGCAUGGAUGGAAAGUAUGAGUAAGAUAGGUGGACAAUUCAAAUGGUAGAACGUAUCUAAUGGUCCGAUGGAAUUUGGCCCGAGAUUGAGAAAAGGAAAAGAAAUUGAUUUCCGUUUUAGGAAAUCUAGAGAAGCAAAAGAAGCUCGAGCAAUCAAACGAAUUUCAGAAAAAACGAAGAAAAACAAAGGCGCCCAACUAAAAGAAAAGAAGUAAAAUCAAAUUUUUAAUUUAGGUUCACGUUAGUUCAAAUUAAAUCCUUCAAAUUAUAAAAGUCCAAUUCAAGCUUUAUUAGCAAAUAAAACAAAUGAAAAUUUCUCGCCCUGAUUUUUGGAAAACUUUUUCUUAAACAUCCCGUGAAUCAGGAUGUUACAGACCUACCCACCUUAAAAGAAAUCUCGUCCCCGAGAUUCAGGCUGACUAAAGAGAAUGGGUUUGGGUUAGCUUCGUCUUUGACACAGUUCUUCUCAGAAACUUGUCGAAUCACAGUUCAUUCUGAACUUGGUGAAAGGCGGCUUUGGGGUCUUGAUUGGAGAUACUUCGAUUGUCGAUACUUUAUCCAGCUUGCUCAAGGCUUGGACGCAGUCCUUCGGCCUUGGACGAUGUAAGUCUCAUAGCUUCUCUUAGCGGUUGAACAUUCUUCAGUCUUGCCCUUCAUCUUUGGUUGAAGCCUUGAUACGGCUGGAGUCAUUGAACUUUCCUUCUGGUUGAACUUAUAGUAGUUGUAGUAAAGAUCUUGAAAUCUUCGUAUUCUUUGCAAAUAAAGGUCUGCAAAUCUUCAGUCUCAACAUGAGUAAUCGUACUACCCCCCCCCCCCUUAAAAGAGGUUUUCCAUAAGGUUCACUUUGAUUAUAGAUCUCCAAGCGGUUGUAGUGGCUUCCUUGCUCUCAAAGUGUCUUCCAGGGUUUAUAGAGAAGAGAGAAAAGCAUAAAGAUGAGUAAUAGAAUCCUACAGAAGGCGGAGAUACCCCAGAAGAUAGACAAAAGAUAACACUCAGAUAAUCAUGAAACUAUCCACAUAUAACUCAAAAGCAACUCAUUUUGGCAAAUAUGGUUUUAGUAUGACUGCAUAGGAAAAAACCAAAAAUAUGCAGACAAUACUCACACAAUAAAGGUUUUGUCUUCAAGCUACGAGUUCUAUCACCACAAGGGUGUUAACCAAUCUAAUCCUAUAUGGCCGGUCACAAUAAAUCUUGGAGCAAAUCUUCAACGAUGAUGAACGGACCAUGAUUGAUGGUUGUUGACUUCUUGAGUUCUCGAAGUGUCUUCUCUUGAAAAAAUGUUGCUAAGUUAUCUUGAAAUUCUUGGCACAUCUUGUGAAGCUUCUAACUUUUCAACACCAAGGGCUAGAAAGGGGUUUCAUACUAUAAAGAAGAAGGAAGAGAAGUAGAGUUUAAACUUUGCUUGAAUAACAUCAGUUAAGUAGAGAAAUAUAGAAGGAGAAGACUAUGAGAAUAUUCUUUUCAUAAAAAUAGUUUUUCUUAUAACAAUAGUCCCUAAGGCUUUCCAUUUCUAACUAAGGCCACGCGACUAGGUCGACAUCGUCUCUGAUACCACUUCCGUGAGAACCUGGAAUUAACUUCCGGACCCUCCUGUGUAUCUUUGUCAACCCUAGGAUCAUUGUUGACAACACAGCAAAAUGAUAUCAUUGCACAAUAUGUAAAAGGAAUUACAAAUUUAUAUAUAUCUUGCCACAAGGCAUACCUAGAUAAAUGUCUCAUGACAUUUAUUACAUUCAGAAAAACAGUAGAAAGUACAAUGCGUAGCGACUCCAUCUCAGCCACAGGCAGUCGAUGUAGUCCACAUGACCUCACUCCUACAGAUCGCCAUAGUAGUCGUAGUCAUCACCUUCAUCUUCAUGGAUUUCUGUUGUUCAACAAAAAUAUUGCCAUGAGUACAUUACGUACUCAACAUGCCUCCCAGGGGAAGGUCCUAAUAGCUACAUGUGGCUUCAAAGGAAGGCUGUAUGGCUCAUUUGCAUAAAAGCUAAUUUUGUUUGAAAAUAAUUUAGCAGUCGGAUAAAAGAAGUUUCUGAUGAAAACAUGUUUUAUCUCCAGAAUAACUUUCAUAAAGUGAGGAUCCUCGAUCAACUCACACUCUUCACAGGUUCCAAGAAUAUAGGGGAAAGAGAGAAUAAGAAAGACAGGUCUUGUAUGUCACGAAAGAUUCAUGUGUCAUCCAUGACCGUGGACACGGCUAUUUGAAUAGUUUUACACUCUGCAGAGGUUGUACACUUUACCCACACGACACAAUCCCGACUUGUUGCCACUAGCCAUCGCUAGCAUAGUACACCAUUUGGUAUACCGGCAGGGAGAUUGUCACGAGGUCUUUCAUUAGACCAAACUUACUGUGCCAAGCCCACUAGGUUUCAACACGGAAGUAACCGCAGUUCAUAGUUCGAGCCCCCCUUUUGUGUCGAGGAUACUCCUGGCAAGGCAGCUAUCCCAUUUGCGGUACGGCGAUCACGACAAUAAGAGUGAACUAACUAAUUAACCAAGCCAAUGCCCAUAUAGCAUGUGGUUGUACUAUUAUCACAAUCUUCAAAUCCAAGACUUAUUAGGCCUCAUACGGUACGGACGACUGAUUGCCCCCUUCAUUUAUGAAAGGCAGCCAAUCACUCCUUCAAUCCUUGAUUCAGUUGUCGCCCGCGCCAGUAUUCAGAUGGUAAGUUUCACCCAGAGUAGAAGAGAAUAGAGAAGGUCAAGAAGGGCCAACCGGCCUAGCUCAGUGGUAGGUUUCAACUGUCAAUGACUCAGAGGUCAUUCAAACAAAGCACCUAUAGGGUAAUAAGCAUGGCUAAGCAUUUCUACUCUACAAGAAUACUACAAUUCUACUCAGGUGUCAAGUGAAUGGCCGACAAGCGAAUCAAGGUAAUGUGUCAAUUGACACACUAGCUACGAGAAUAAAAAGCAUGCGUGUAGUAACCAUAAAACUCAAUGCAAUUUUGUAAACAUAGGAUAAGUAUGAUCAAAGAAGGAGGCAUGCCUUCGUUGUUAAUUCCUUCUUUGAUAACCUGGUUUUGUCCAUCUCCAAAAUUGUCGUCACUCCCUACUCGUAGUAACGAUAGAAAAAGACAAACAAUAAAUACCAAAGCAAUAGUAAAUCCAAAUCGAAACAAAAUUAAGUGGAUGGAUAAGAUAUUGAUCAAGAUGGAUAUUCCAGAACAAGGUAGCAUGAUAGGAAGGUAAGAGAUAUGAUUCAACGAAGGGACAAGGUUAAGUUGACACGAUUGAGGAAGGCUUUGCAAUCAAUACUAAUGUUCUGUUAUGAACUAGUAGUGCCCACCACACAUCUCGACUAACCAUGUAGAAACUACCGUAUAACAAACACACUGACAUUAGCACUCAUGGAAUGGAACCAUCCUAUGCAUUUUAACUACACAAACUCAACAUGACAUGAUAAAGGUGAAAGUUAACCAUGAUAAAUAUUUAGAUCUAUAGAAUCUAAAUAUUUAUAAUAGUCAGUUGCAACCAAGCAUAUACAUCAACUAUAUAAUAACUGAAAAGCAAGUGUUGCGUAAUACGACCAAACCAACAUUAUAGACCAUACUAGUUAAGCAAUCAAACAUCAUUCAACAACAUGAAUUGAAUGAUCUAGGUAUAGCCCUAAAACACAAUCAAAAUAAAAUAGGACCAAAUCCACUACAUCAAAUCAAUUCGUUUGUCAAACAAUUAACAAGAAACAAUACAACCCAUGGAACAAAUGGAUAAAAAACUAUCCUAGACAUGAUAUGAUUAAGAGUAAUGAUCAACCAUAAAUAAAUAUUCAAAUGAAUCCAAAUAUUUAUAAUGGUCAACAACAAGCUAAGUGUAAACCUCAAUCAUAAAACUAUAAAUAAGCAUUUUUAUAGCAAAGAGCCAAUCCAAUAUUAUGGUCAAAACUAAAUAAACAAAUAAAUCAAGACACAUCUUCACACGAAGCAUGUGAGCAUAUUAUCACUAGAGGUCUCAAUGAAUAACACAUGUAUCACACACACGAGUGAUCGUGAUAAUAUACUAAACCUAGGAUAUGGUCUUAUUACUAAAGAACGACUAAUAUCAAUAACCACUAGCAGUUAUAAUAUCACCACAAACACAACUCAACUAACAUGAAAGAUAAACUAGUCUAAGCAAGCGAUGAAGUAUUGCAACACAUAUACAACACACAUAAUAGUAACAUGAGACAAGUCAAUCAUAUAAGAGCAACACAAGUACAACUAUAACACAUGGAACAUAAUAACCCAUGAAAGAUCACUAGCAUGACUUGAUGUCUAGACUUAGGCAUACCACAAAUGAAACAGUAAGAUAGACCAGAUAUGAUGCUAAGCAUGGAUGAUCAUCACACGAGAUACCAAAAUAUGCAACUAAUAAAAUGCAACGUGUAACUAUGAGAUAACCUAGUUGAUAACAAGUGACCUAAAGAUCAAGAACGACGUUAGCAUACAACCCUACCAUGCUAGUUAUCAUAAAUGAGAACAUGGAAACAUACUAAGCUCGUAGGAAAGUAUACAACUAGAUCAUCUCAUCAACCAAAUCAACAUGCGUUAUAGAAGCACGAAUAUCAAGAUCAUGACAUGCAUUUCUAUUUAGUAUAACCUACAGUACAUCGGACACACAACUAUGCACCAUACAACACAUGAAUUGGUACACACAUGCUACACAGUCUGGUUAUACAAUCACCACAUAAUGGUAUUGUAUUGAUAAAGAAAGAUGAAAUCAUACAAAAACUAGCAUGUGUCUCUACCAAGCAAUAGCUAAUAAUAUUCACCAUCAUAUCAUAAAUACUAGCAAUGAUAUAACACAUGGAAUCACACAAUAAAACAACCAUUCAACGUUUGAGCAAGUGCUAGUAUGACAUGGUAUUGUCCUAGGUAAAUAAAACACAUCGUAUAAUUAUCAAGAUGUAAUAAACUAACUUCUAUGCCACAAGAAAUAAAUCCUACAAAGGAACACAAUUAUAACAUGACAUAAAAGCAUCGAACCAUGUAAACUUGGAUAAUAAACAUCUAGAAAAGAAGAGGAACUGGAAAAUUAUAUUCUACACAACGAACUAUAAUGUACUCAUUUCCAAAGAACAAGACAUUUCAUUUAACCUCUAGCAUAAGCAAAACCAUGCGACACACCUAUAAGAAAAAUAACAAUAAUAUGAACAUCUAUUGUAGGAAUGACAUGAUUUCAAACCAAUAAAAUAAACAUGUGAGAUGGACGAACAUGAAUAUGUAAACUAUGUCUAAUAUAUCUUCAUGCUAAACAAUAAGAAAAUAAGAAAACAUGAACUAGUUAAUAAUUAGAGAAAUCAAACAAAGCUUAGAAUAAUCUUACAAAGUCAUAAGCAUGGAGACAAUUCACCAAAAAUAUGUACGCAUUCUCCACAUAGAACAAUAAACAUUACUAAGCAUUAUUUAAAUGAUAACAACACGAUUACGUAUCAAUGCUCCAAAUCUAAUUAAAAUAGUAACACCCGACAAGCAUGUACGAACAAUAAUAAUUCGAUACACCAAUCAACUCCUACACAUGGUAGGAAUUUGCAAAGACUUGUACAGAGACAUCAUAGGACUACGCACGCACCAAAGAAAAAUAUCAUCAAGAACAAACUAUAUUUGACAAUUUAAAUAAUCCUACAAACAUGAAUAAUAAAUCACAUGACACUCUCAAAAAAAUUGAGAUGAUUAGCCUGCACUCCUAACAUAUCCGGAACAUAUGAAUGAUAAAAUAUUAGCACAAAAGUUCACGGGUGAAUUAUUACACAUGUGAUAAUUCACUAGACCUAUUGCAAACGCAUAUCACACUAUGAUGCAGGAAAUUAACACAUGAAACCGUACAAAACUAUAUUAAAAUAUAUCGUUCUAAUUAAAACAACAACUGGAUAGAAUAGAUUCUAAAAACUGAGUUGCCGAUCUAGCAAGCUAGUUCCACCAAUAGGUUCCUAUCGUCAUAGGGAGCAUUUGAUACAUUCGGCAUGAAGUCAUCCGAGGAACAAAAACUAUGGAAACAUGCCGAUGUCACCGAAUGGCCUCUUAUUUUGGACGCACGUGGUCAACUAAAGAAAUAGGCCCUAAAAUGAUGCCUAACAGAUGGACAAGGUAUAGGGAAGUGAGCCUGCAAAAGGAAUUGGACAAGAGCUCACUGAACUUGACGAAACAACGCGAUGAACUCGAUGAACAGUGUAAACGUACAUGCAGAAUUCUUCGCGUGUGGUUGAUGGAUCGCCUUCUUUCUUCUCUGAAUGGAGCUGUGGCAUGGAGAGGGGCCUUGGGGCGCAAGAGUGCUGAUGGAGAUGGUCUACGCCAUCGGGAACAAGCACCGGCAUCCAUGGAACAGCAGCAGAUUGAGGAGGGUUCUUGGUAAAACAAAGAUGGGAGAAGGCAGGAGGGCUGAGAAGAAUGUAAGAGGAGAUCGGGGCGCUCGUCCAUGUACUCACGGAUUUGGAAACGGUGAAGUAUUAAGGAAGUUAGAGGAGGGGUGCAUGGUGUGCGCUUACGUGAGGGUGGAGGAAGGAGAAGCGCUUGGGGUUGACGUUGGAAGAUGGGCAAGUAUCUUCAUAUUUGUAAGGGAAGUGUUUACAAACGGCGCACCAGCCGAACCGUUCCGCCAGUUCGCACGCCACGCUGGCAACGCGCCCGCGCCAUCCCCGCCUCCUUCCUUACGUGCCUCCAUCCCCUACCUUCAGCCUACGUGCGCGCACCUCCCCUCCCCCGAGCUGCGACUGGGCCUCUACGAACUCCAUCGCCGGCGGCCAGGCGCUCCCUCGCCGGCCGCCAUGGCUGCCUGCUGCCAUGGCCAGAUCCAUCCCUAACCUACAGCCUUCAAGGGCGCGCAUCCCCUCCCCUCCUCCUCCUCCCGGGCAGCGACUGGGCCACCAAAAGCUCCAUCGCCGGCGGCCAGGGCGCUCCCUCGCCGCUCACCAUAACUGCCUGCCCGCCAUGCCCGGAUCCACCCCGCGUAUAGAAGUGUUGCAACCAUCACCUAAAAAAGCUUCAACGGCCAUUCAAAAAAGCUUCAACCAUAGACAUAGAAAGCUUCAAUGGCACUGCACAACAAGGGGGAAGCUGCAACCAUAGUUGAAUUUUGCUACCACCGGCGAAGCUUUUUGCUACAUCCAUCAGGCGGAGCUCGGACCCUCGUGACGACGAAAACGAUGUUUUGCUGCAACCGUAGCAGGAUUUUGCUACAACUAGCAUCAUUUUUUGCUACCACGGCAACCGGCGGAAGCAGCGACCCGCAGUGCUUUUCCAGCAAAUGAUUUUUGUCCCGGCAAAACCCAGAGCUAGAACCAGCUUUUGUUUUUGCUACAACCUGCAAAUCGAGAGCUGGAACCAACAACAUUUUUUGUUGGAAUCAAAAGAAGCAGGGGCUUCAACGGAUGUACGUCAGAGCUGCAACCAGUGCUGAAAAAUGCUACAUCCGGUAGCCACGAAAGCUACAACCAGCUUGAAAAAUGCUUCAACUGGAUAUGAGGUAGUUGGGGGUCGGCAUCUCGCAGCGACAAAAAGCUGCAACCGGCUUGGAGGAAAGCUACAACGCGCUUCUAAAAAAGCUUCAAACCGAGAACGGCUAGCUAACAAUGGUGAACGGCGGCGACGGAGCUGCAUGGGCGCGCGGUGCUGCGACGGGCACGCGGCGAGCUAUGAUGGCAGACUGCGACAAUGCUGGAACCCUCACCCGGCGGUGCUGCAACCAGAGGGAGGGAGACACGCCCGGCCCGACGGAGCUGCAUACGGCGAACGCCCCAGGUGAGCUGCGACGGCGAGCAGCCCCGGCGAGCUGCGACGGCGAGCUGCGACGGCGAGCGGCCCCGGUAAGCUGCGACGCGGCGUCCAAGGGCGAGCACGAGGAGGCUGACCCGCGGAGAUCCGUUUUUUUCCUGCGUUUACGCGUGCGUGCGGGAGGAAGAAGAAGCCGGGGGCGAUUCGUUUUUUUUCCUGGAUCCAACGACCCGCGCGGCUCACAUCCAACGGCCUGGGCUAGACCGGCCGAAACUUUCGGCUGGCGCACCGGCGCCUAUCAGCGCCCUAUUUGUAAAGGUAGCAAUUAAAGGGAAAGAGGAGGAGUUUCCAUCAUGCCUGUACGCUUCCUAUUUUGUGUGCGUUUUCUCUUCGGGUAUGUGUGUGUCGGCGACGGAGCUGCAUGGGCGCGCGGUGCUGCGACGGGCACGCGGCGAGCUAUGAUGGCAGACUGCGACAAUGCUGGAACCCUCAGCCGGCGGUGCUGCAACCAGAGGGAGGGAGACACGCCCGGCCCGACGGAGCUGCAUACGGCGAACGCCCCAGGUGAGCUGCGACGGCGAGCAGCCCCGGCGAGCUGCGACGGCGAGCUGCGACGGCGAGCGGCCCCGGUAAGCUGCGACGCGGCGUCCAAGGGCGAGCACGAGGAGGCUGACCCGCGGAGAUCCGUUUUUUUCCUGCGUUUACGCGUGCGUGCGGGAGGAAGAAGAAGCCGGGGGCGAUUCGUUUUUUUUUUCCUGGAUCCAACGACCCGCGCGGCUCACAUCCAACGGCCUGGGCUAGACCGGCCGAAACUUUCGGCCGGCGCACCGGCGCCUAUCAGCGCCCUAUUUGUAAAGGUAGCAAUUAAAGGGAAAGAGGAGGAGUUUCCAUCAUGCCUGUACGCUUCCUAUUCUGUGUGCGUUUUCUCUUCGGGUAUGUGUGUGUUGGGGAGGGAAAAAAUAGAUGGGCUAAGCCCAUGUGACUUUAGAAAGAAAACAAAAACAAUUGGAUGAAUCCAGGGAAGAGAAGAGAGAUGUACAGAGGGACCUCCUAUUUGCCGCAAACUGUCGAUGGUUCGCGCAGGGGAUAAGUGACUUGGGCCGGCCCAUUUUAUGGUUGGCGCUGUGAAAAAUCAACAAAAAAACGGCGUACCGGUUGGGAAUCGAACCCGCGCCCUGCAGAAUAGAGGACGGCGCACCUAGCCAGCACGACCGGCUGACACUAGUGGAACGUGCGCAACGCGGUACCUAAACAAAUGAAAGGCAGCAGCAAAAUUCCGGUAAAAAAUUUGGCCAAAACGUGUGUGCGUAUAUCCAUUCAGAAACAUAAUUUUUCUAAAUAUAUCCAUCUAGAAACAUUUUUUGAACAUAAUUUUUCUAAAUUUAUCCAUUUAGAAACAUUUUUUGAAUAAAUAAACCAUUUUUCAAAAUGCAAACAUUUUACGAAAUUACCACAGACUAUGUUCCCGUUUUCACAAAUGUCAAUAUAUUUAGAAAAAAACAUUUUCGAAAUUUGCAAACUAACUUUUCAUAACUCAAACAUGUUUUGUAAAAGAGGGAACAAUAUUGACAACGAGAACAUUUUUCAAACUGUGAACAACUUUUUCAAUUUGCGAGCAUUUUCUAAAACAGGAACAAAUAUGAAAAAUGCCCCACAAUUUUGAGCAUUUUUUCAAACACAACUAUUUUCUGAAAUUUCCCGAAUUUAUUUUAAAUUUGCGAACAAAUUAUGAACACAUGAUUUUGUUGAAUUUUUGAACAAAUUAUGAAAACAGAAACAUUUUUUCAUAAAUAAACAUUUUUUUGAAAAUACGAACAUUUUAUGAAAUGACCAAACAUUUUUUAAUUUUUGAACAAAUUUCAGAAAAGAGGAACCUUUUUUAAAUCUGCGCAAAUUUAUGAAUUUGUGAACAAAAUUGAAAAUUUUCAAACAUUUUUGAACUUUUUUAAAGAAGUUCACAAUUUUUUCGAAAUUCCUAAACAUUUUUUGAAACACGAACAUUUUUCUAUUGUAAACAAAUUACAGAAACAAGAACAUUGUUUGACACACGAAUAUUUUUUGAAUUGCAAACAUUUUUUGAAAACAAGAACAAAUUUUGAAUUUCGUGAACAUUUGUCGAAAUAGUAAACUAAUAUAGAAAAUGGUAAUUCUUUUUGAAACAGCAUUUUGAAAAAUAAGAACAUUUUCUGGAAAUCAUGAACAUUUUAUUAAACAGGAACAUUUUUCCAAAUUCCAAAACAAAAUUUGGAAAUGUGAACAUAUUUUGAAAUUCCUGGAAAAAAUUUGCAAACACGAUUUUUUAAAGUGGAAGAAUUUUAAACUCCUAAAAAUAAAAAUAUGAAGAAUUUUUGGAAUUUGUGAAGGAAAUUUGAAAACAAGAACGUUUUUUAAAUUUAUGAAGAAAAUGAACAAAAAGAUUCCAAACAUUUUUUGUAAAACAAGAACAAUUUUUGAAAUGCCCAAAUAUUUUUCCCAAACCACGAACAUUUUUUAAAUAUUGAACAUUCUUUAGAAAUACGAACAAAUUUUAAACUGCUCAAACAAUUUUCGAAACAAAAAAAAAGAAAAAAGAACACAUAAAAAAAAGAAAGAAGAAAAAGAAACAGAAAAAAGGAUUAAAGAGAUGAAACAGAAAAAUAAAAAAUAAAAACGAAGGAAAAAAUAAAAUUGGUAUAAAAAUAAAAAACCGGUUCAGGGAACCUUCUGGAAGGUUCCCAAAACCGGCUGCCUCGCUGUCAGGAAGUGGGCCGGCCCAGGUCUUGCGCUGGGGGGAGAUCGCCUGUGUGAAUGCUUGACAUUUUGACGCAGUUAGCGUCAAAUAGAAAUUUCCAUGUACAGAUGCAUGUAUUGGUGGAUUUGUCUCAGAAACAAUGUAUGCGUGGAUGGAAAGUAUGAGUAAGAUAGGUGGACAAUUCAAAUGGUAGAACGUAUCUAAUGGUCAGAUGGAAUUUGGCCCGAGAUUGAGAAAAGGAAAAGAAAUUGAUUUUCAUUUUAGGAAAUCUAGAGAAGGAAAAGAAGCUCGAGCAAUCAAACGAAUUUCAGAAAAACCAAAGAAAAACAAAGGCGCCCAACUAAAAGAAAUGAAGUAAAAUCAAAUUUUUAAUUUAGGUUCACGUUAGUUCAAAUUAAAUCCUUCAAAUUAUAAAAGUCCAAUUCAAGCUUUAUUAACAAAUAAAACAAAUGAAAAUUUCUCGGCCUGAUUUUUGGAAAACUUUUUCUUAAACAUCCCGUGAAUCAGGAUGUUACAGAGAGAGAGAGGUGUCGAUAAAAACAAAAUAUGUUUGAUUAGCUUCACUUUUGUUGCUAAUCUAAAUGGCCGAUACACAAUUGUCGCUCUAAGAAAUAAAAUGGCCGAUAUAUACCUAUCAUCAAAAGCACGUACAAAAUGGCAGAUGGAGUGUUGACAUCGUGCUUAAAACAAACUCCGUGCAAGUUAUUUUUCGGCACACAAGUUUUGCCAAAAAUAGGGGGGCAUGUGUUGACACCAGAUUUUGGUACAGUCAACAACUUAAUUAAAGUGGCUUCAAAUGAAGAAGUGAUGUACAUGAAAGAGUUUUGUAUUGUCAAGGUGAACAUCUUUCAAGUUUGGGUCAUCGCCAUCCGAUCUCAUCUCGAGGGCCGAAACUAUGCUCAAAGCACUGAGAUUUUAUAUCCAGAGCACGGUUCGGCCGAUUAUGACUCAAGGGAAGCCUCAAAUGAGAAAACUUUCUACAUGAAUUGUCUUUGUCUCGUAAAAACGAUUGAUUUUGAUAUAAAAUCGUCUCAAUCCAAGUUCGUAUGCAAAAGUUAGAGCCAUCAGAAAGCGGCCCUACCAUGAGGCAAAAUAUGGGGCGAGGGAGCACACAAACGCCUCAUUAAUGUCUGAUGGGUCGCGCGACCUGUUCGGCCCUCAAGAAUGCUCUGAAUCGAAAAACGUUCAACACAAAAGUUGUUCAUCUUGUCGAAAUGGUCAAAAUUUCUUUUGGGCUCAUCUUCAUCCGAGGUUGUUUGUGGCCUGUAGGAUCUAAAAACUGAGCUGCUGUUCCAGAUUUACCUAAAUCCGAAUUCGGUUAAUUUUGGAAAGAUUUAGAAUCUUUUUUUUGUACAGGAAGUCCAGCCGCCUCAUAAAUAGAUGAGAGGUGACGUCCGAUUGAACAACGCACAAUCGAUCAAUUCACCUACCUCUUUUUACCUUUACUUUUAUCUUCUCCCUUUGUUCUUCUUCUUCCUCGUUCUUUGUUCGUUCUUCUUGUUGCAGGGCGGCGAACCUCGAGGCCCUAUGGGCGGUCAGGCCGAUCUAGUGCAGCCCAUAGUCGUUGCGUGCCCUGACGGGGUCCCUCCCGAGCGUGUGGGUUUUGGAUCUACAUAAGCGUCCGCCGGAUUGCUUGCGUACCGUGCUUCCGGCCCGGUCUCCUUCGACGUGAGCUGUGGUGCACCACCUUCGGUGUUGGAGGUACACGGUGACGUGUUCGUGUUUCAACACGAAGGUUUGAGCUUGACUCACAGCGAUGCAGGGGGCGAAGGUCUAGUGCAUGCCGGUGGCAUGAACCUCGAGUGUUGUUGCCUCGCCGAUAUUUCGCACGAGAGCUCCUAUACACCACCCGUGAGCGUUCGAGCGACGUGGCUUCGCUGAAGCGAAGCGCAAACGGGCCGGCCCAAUAAGCACGUGUCGAGCAAAAAUUCAAAAACGUAGCGCGCAAGUUGGGAUCAAACUGCCGACCUUAUUCUGGAUCCAAGGGAGCCAACCAGCCGAGCUAGCUACCUACAACGGUAAAAUUGCAGUGCUUGUCUUAAAGUAUAAAAGGCAACGGCAAAUCAUUUUAUUUUUAAAAUAAAUAUUUUUAUAAUAUGCGUUGAACAAACUUUAAAAUAUAGAGAACUUCUUUAAAACAAACACUUGAAAAUUUUAAAAUACACAACUGAACAUUUUGUAGUGUACGUUGAACAAAUUUUUUAUAUAUGAUGAACAAAUUUUAAAUACAUAAUGAACUUUUAUAAUAUAUGUUGAACAAUUUCAUAAUAUACUAUGAACAUUUUUGUAAUACACGAUGAACAAUUUUAGAAUGCAAGAUGCACUAUUUAAUAAUAUACGAUGAACAUUUUCUUAAGUUGAAGAAGAUUUUUGUAACAUGCAGCUUUUUAUAUAAUGCGCAAUAAAGAGAAUAAAAAUAGAAAGAGAAAAUAAAAAGGAAACAUAAAAGAAAAAAGGAACCAAAAAAGAAAGAGAAAAAACAGGAAGAAAACAACUGAAAACCGGGCAAAACAGUGAAAACACUGGAAGAAAAAUCGUAGAAGAAAAACGAAAAAAAACCCGCAAGAAAUAGAGAAGGAAGCGGCAGCGACGCAUCAAACGGUAAACGCUAAUCCCAUACAUGGGCCGGCCCAACCGAUGGCUCCCUGAGCGAAAGCAGAACAUUCUGACGCUAACCAGCGUCAAAUAAGGUUUGCCCUUUCGCACAAGCUCCGGGUUCCUGCAGGAAAUGAAUGGAGCAUGUAUGUAGGGCGUGGUCAACGUAGUAAACGUACAAAAAGCUACUAUAUUGCUCAACGUGGUCGAUCGGUAUGUAGGGCCAGUUCUUUUGGGCGAUUCUCCCAGAAUCGCCCCCUUCCCCAGCUUCUCCCAGAAUCACCACUUCAUAUUUUUUUUACAAUCCUAACUAAUUAGACAUUAACUAGACAGGAUUGUAAAAAAAAUAUGGAGUAGCGAUUCUGGGAGAAGCUGGGGAGGGGGGCGAUUCUGGGAGAAUCGCCCAAAAGAACUGGCUCGUAAUGUGCCUGGAUACUUCGAGGCCGACGUUGUGGGGGAAGAUGGUGGCGCCGAUGACAUUGUUGUUGCCGUGGACGACAUCGAUGUUGUAGAUGACGGGGACGCCGAGGCGGGACGAAAGGGCGAGGCGCUGCAUGCCGUCGACCAUACCAGCCCAGUCGGACGGGGAUGCGCGUUCCUAGGGCGGCCUGCCGCCGCCGUUGAGGAGGCUGCCGACGCCGAGCUUCGUGAGGGCGCGGGGCGGCGCCACGGAGAGCUCGAUCUGGGCCAUCUGGCCCGCCUUCUCCUGCAGCGUCAUGCGGACCAGCAGGUCGCGCACGCGCGCCUCUACCGGCGCCGAUGCGUCCUUGUACAGCGGCCGCUCUUUGCCUAGGCCUUGCGCUGCCGCCAUGCCGGCCGGUGACGGUGAGCACAAGGCAAGUAUUGCUUUUGUUCCGGCCACCUAGGAAUUUCUACAAAAUGUUCACAAUAUUCAAAAAAUGCUCGAGAAGAGCAAGUGGUCGUGCGAGAGUGGCUAUCGGCAUGACUAGAAACCAUGUGGGCUUUGCCCACGCAGGUACGGAUCUUGACGACCACGCCCUUUUUUUCUUCUAAAAAAUGUUCGAGAAUUUAGAAAAAUGUUCUGAAAUUAUAAAAAAUGUUUACAAAAUUCAAAUAUUUUUGUUGUUUCAAGAAGUAUUAAGUAACUCAAAAAAGUUUGUCUAGAAGAAAAAAUGUCCAUCAAUUUCAAAAUUAGUUCUCAAAUUUCAAAAAAUGGUUACGUGUUCCAAAAAAUAUACGCAAUUUCAAAAAAUAUUCGUGAAUUUGAAAAAAGUUCAUGAUUUUAAAAAUAUCAUUAAUUAAAAAAUGUUCAUGAUUUCAAAAAAACAAUCAUGAUUUAAAAAAAUAUUGAUGAUUUUAAAAUUGUUCAUGAAUUUGCGAAGAAGUUCACUUGUUCCAAAAAUGUUAGAUAUUUUUUAUAAAAUGUUCUGCAAUUAAAACAAAAUUCACGAAUUUGUAAAAAAAAUGUUCAUAAAUUUGGAAAUAUUCUUGAUUUUGAGAAAUGUUCAGGAGUGCAAAUAUAAUGUUUUCAAUCUGAGAAAAUAUGUUUGCAAAUUUGAAAGAUGGACAAACAAGAAAAGGAAAAAAAUAAGGAAAAAAUAAGGACAAAUAAAGAAUGAAUGAAAAAAGAGAAAAAGGAAAGCAGAGCAGUAACGAACAAUGAAAAAAGAAGGAAUUGUCUCAAAAAAAUGAAAAAAGAAGGAAAAGGGGAAAGAAAUUAAAAAACUGGAAAAAAAUAAGGAAAAACGAGAAAACCGUUUCUUGGAAGAUUCUAGAACCUUCACCAAACCGGUGGGGGAGGGAUCCCGCAAUGGGUAGGCGGCUGGCAACCUACGCGUCAAAUAGGAGUGGCCUUGAAUUUGUUUUGAGAAAAAGAUGUAAAUUCACUUUUGUUUGGGCAACGCGGCAAACCAUGGGCCCGAAAUCAAUUCAGCUCGCCUCCAAUCCGAGCUCGAUUGAUUUCGACUCCCACUCGUCGUCAUCGACCGGAGCCGAAAUAGAACGGAAUUAAAAGCUUCGGCCUUUAUAAUGCCCAGACAACAUCUGUUCCAGCGUCCCCCAAAUUGGAAGCUAGGUUUCCUCGAUCAAAUUCUCCCCAAUUUUGGCGGCGAGGUCGGUUAGUCGAGGCGAACCGCGGGAGAUCGACGGCCGGCGAGGAAGUAGCGGCGCACCACCAGACGCAUGGCGGCGAAGGCAGCUGUGACCGCCGGCGAUGUGUGUGUGCUGAAGCGGUGCCAGCAGCAUGGCGGUCAAGAUCUGAAGGAGAAGAAGGGAACCAAAAGGAAAGCAGAGGAGGCACCAGAAGGCGACGAAUCUCCACUGGAGGUCUGCUCCAUCAGAAGGAAAACAGCCGGGAUCGACUGCUCUGAGUUGGGGCAGGGAGCCACACCGGCGACGGCGGCGGCAGCCAGGCGCGAGGAGGCUCCGGAGAGAAAGAUGACGAGGCUGCCGCAGGAGGAGGUGGAUUCCAUCCUAACCAAGGAGAUGGAUGACGACUCUCUCCCUCCCGAGUACAAGGCCCUGAAGCGCCACAACCCUGCCCUGAUUCCUUCGCCGGAAGAGGAGAUGGACGAGGACGUGGUGAGCUUCUACAACGUCGUGCGCUUUUUCUACGAGAUUGGAGAGGAUUUCAGGGAAUUCCAGGCCUGGGUCCGCACCGAGUACGCCAAGAAUGGCUACGUCGAGGUGGAUGAUGAGUACCUGCGCCAUCAACAGGAGAUGGAAGCAAUGAACGAAGCAGCACGCAAGGAGGCACUCAAAGCCUUCGAUUUUUCAGACUUGCUCGACUUCUGAUUUGGUGCAGCAUCAGCCUGUGAUGAUUGUAGAUGGAGUUCAUUUUCUCCAGUAUUAUCAUCCAACGACUGUAUUAUGCAACCAAUGUAAUAAGAACUCACUUUGUCGAGUAUUCGAUUCUCUUCUUACAAAUCAGAAGGCAAAAGGGUGAGAUUGUUUCAAAUUCAGGAGUUAAGUAGAAACUGAAGCGUAUCAUGUUAAAAGGGAGGCUAAUGACACCGUAUUAUGCGGCCAAAUUAGCUUCUCCGGCUAAUGUUGUAAAGACCUGGAUGUAUCAGGUUCCUGAACCUUUGUAUGACUGUGUUCAGCUUGACACUCAUGCCGACAAGAGUAAUACUGAUUGCUAAUUCUUAAAUAAAAUAAACCCAAACAUUGAAAUAAAUAUUAGUUCUUUUAGAGAUCAAGAGCAAUUGUGAAUGUAGUGAAAAUAAACUGUUAAGAAGGAGAUCAGCAAAGAAGGUAAUGGCAAAAUUACUGAAUCAUAGGAGUUGUCAGUAGUUUUGCCUUUAUACUCCAUAUUAAUCCGUUAUUUUGGGUAAUUAACUAAACUCCUGUAACUUUACUGAAUCAUCAUAGAAGUUGUCUUUGCCAACCCGAGUAUUGCUUUACAACAAUUCGAUGGCCUGUGUAUUUGUGUAGCGUUCUGCAGAUUCAUACGGCUCUGAAUGCUCUUCUGUAACUGAUGACUCAAAAUGAUUGUACAUUGAAACUGAAGCCUUUGGAAACUGAAACAGAAACCUUACGUGAGAGCAGGCAGAGGCGCGGAGUCAAUGGUUAUGCUCUUGGACAAUAUUCUGCAGGUUAAACAACAUUCAUUAAGCACCCUUGUUUGGUGGUAUUUUCUCUGUAGCAUCCCACUGUAUCUUCAGUAAGCCUGUCCAAUUUCAGGAGCUUGUGGGGGACCAGAUUCUGCAUUAAUAUUGAAUUUACAUGCAGCAGGGAUGAGGGAUUUGCCAGAUAGUUAUUACUUUAUCAUGCUUACUUUGAGCACUAAAAUUCGUUCAGUGUAAGCAAACUUGUGUUGAAAACCUCAGCUCUUUCUUUUGUACGUAAAAUACAAGGGUGUGCCAUACAUUGUACUCUCCUACCUCCAUCUCUCUCAGGAUUUACAUCUUUACCCAUGAGACUAGAAUGCUCUCUGCUCUGUCUGCCUUCAUCAUUUCUCUAGCAUGAUGUUAGGUUUUGCUGCUAACAUUUGACAUCGCCGCUAAUCAAUUUGGAUUCCAUAUCUUUUUCGAGGUACUCCACUUCUCAUGCGGAGACAGUGGCCUAUUGUUAACUUGUGUUGACUAGUGUUUUUUCAAACAAUUAUUGUUUAGCAAGGACAUGUUGACUAGUGUUUUUUUGUUUGGAUAAAAAGAGUUUUCAAGAAAUUGUGGAGAGCUUUCUAGCUUGCAGUGCCUGGCCUGUUCAUACUAACAGUCAUGAUAUAUGUGAUGAUUGUAGAUCGAUCACAGUUUCUUCAGUCUCAUCCAUUGACUAUUUAUUACUGCAGCAAACAAAACCUUGUUGUAUCCAUCGCUUUGUUGUAUCCAUCAGUUUGCCAUGAGCAUUCAGCUCUGUUCUUACACAUUGGAAAAACGUGUGUUGUCUUGCAGAAACUAGAGUUAUCUUGUGGUGCUUGUGCUCUCAAUCACCUCAUUUAUGUGUCUGGUUUGUGAGAGGUAAGAGGGGAUGCAAAGCUGCAGGCUUUCCACAUCCUAUUUUUCAAACUCUCCUUCGAUGAGAUCCGAGAAAAAAACUAUAUACUUUUGUUAUGUAUACGAAACCUUGCCACCAAUGUUCAGCUUCGGUAUCUCAAUGUGGUUAGGGGAGUACAAAUCAAAGUCGCAAUGUAAUGUUGUUCGGCUCAUACGAGCAAAGGGGAAUGACAAAGGUACUUGGUUUUUAAUUUGCCGUUCAAGAAAAUGUUUGUGCAAAAACACAAAGAACCAAAUGAUUAGAGAGAACUGUAUGAGGGAAGCUAGGGCAACUCUAGCAGAUUUUGGAGCAUAUAGGCUUAGGUUCUAUCGACACAACGCAGAUUAAGCAAUGAGAAUCACAAUUAAAUAUUGUUAUUUACAUUGCACAAUAUUCCUACCGUCCUCGAGAAUGUUCGAUCACCAUAAGCAAUACAACCGACUUGUCCUUAUCAUAAUUAAAAUUGCGCCACUUGCUGCACUCUUUCACCUUUUAUUGUUAUUUACAUUACCUUGCAACUCCACCCUCACAAACAACUACAAUGUUACACAUUUUAGUACUUACAGCGAAUCAUUGCUAUUUUUGCACUUACCAAUUCCUUCUGCUCCUUGUGCGAUCAAUAAUUUACCUAUAAAAAAUAUCUACAAUUGACAUCCUAGACUUGUGGGAUGUUAGACUCUUUUCUUGGGCCGUUGACGGGGAUUGUAACACUUUUGGUAAGUUCAAAGUGGUAAGGAAAUCAUUUUACUCUGUGUGCUAUUUUAUUGUUUUCUACUAGUUUUAUCACUAUGGCUUCAUAUAUUAUUGAUACUCUACUUGAAACUUUCCUAUCAAUUGGUAAUAAGGUUUGUGAGGAACCUAUUAAAGGAAAAACAAGAUGUUUAUAGAGUACCUAUUGGUUAUAUCAAACAUGUCAAAGCUAACAGCUAUGCAGGAAAUGAGAAAGAUCACCCUGAUGAUCGUAUUCAUUCGCUUGAUGAAAUAUGUUCCCUCUUUAAAACUAAUGGGUUAUCUCGUAAUGACUUGAAGAAGAUAUUAUUCACUUGCUUAAUAGAGGGUGAAACUCUCAAAUGAAAUCAGUAUCUUGAAAACAUUUAUGCCAUGAAUUGGGAAUGGCUAAGUGGUGAAAUUCGUAAGNNNNNNNNNNNNNNNNNNNNNNNNNNNNNNNNNNNNNNNNNNNNNNNNNNNNNNNNNNNNNNNNNNNNNNNNNNNNNNNNNNNNNNNNNNNNNNNNNNNNNNNNNNNNNNNNNNNNNNNNNNNNNNNNNNNNNNNNNNNNNNNNNNNNNNNNNNNNNNNNNNNNNNNNNNNNNNNNNNNNNNNNNNNNNNNNNNNNNNNNNNNNNNNNNNNNNNNNNNNNNNNNNNNNNNNNNNNNNNNNNNNNNNNNNNNNNNNNNNNNNNNNNNNNNNNNNNNNNNNNNNNNNNNNNNNNNNNNNNNNNNNNNNNNNNNNNNNNNNNNNNNNNNNNNNNNNNNNNNNNNNNNNNNNNNNNNNNNNNNNNNNNNNNNNNNNNNNNNNNNNNNNNNNNNNNNNNNNNNNNNNNNNNNNNNNNNNNNNNNNNNNNNNNNNNNNNNNNNNNNNNNNNNNNNNNNNNNNNNNNNNNNNNNNNNNNNNNNNNNNNNNNNNNNNNNNNNNNNNNNNNNNNNNNNNNNNNNNNNNNNNNNNNNNNNNNNNNNNNNNNNNNNNNAGUUCUUUCUGAGGAUGUUUUAAUAAUAAAACUAUCGAGGAAGCUUGGGAUCUUCUUAAUCUUAUUACUUCCAACAACUAAGGGUGAGAAAUGGAUAAAGGUAACAUAGUAGGUAAAACUAUUGAAUACGAAUGCAUUAAGACUUUCACUGGAACUCGCGAAUUUAGUGAUAUGAGUACUAAUAUGGUUUUGAUUCUGAAGCACUUGCAAGUCUUUGUAAGUUUUUUGCAUCCAUAUUAACAUUCUUAAGUCUAGCUAGGAGAAAUAUCAUGAACCUUCCUGAGUUUUACAACGAAGGUAACAAAUCUUCCUUCUCCUAGGAAAAGAACACAAUUAUGUGUUUGCUUUUACUUCUCUCAUCAUAAUCAAGUUGUAGAUGUGUGAUCCUUAAAGCACAUGGCAAUGCGAGAUGAUAAUUUAUUAUUGGACAAACAAUUGAGCUAACAUAAUUCCAAGAACACAAUUAUUGUUAACAAAGUUUCCUCCUCCCGCUUAGUUCACCUUCAUGAAGGAGAGAAGUUGGCGUUUCUUGGACAACUCCUGCUCAUGCAACUCUGCCUUGUAUUUUCCAUCUUUCCCCUCAAAGUGUGUCACAUCAAUGAUGAGCUCGUAGUUCAUGCCAGACAUGAGUUGUUGUCUGCCACUCACCACCUUGUUGAACUUGACCAGGCAGUUCACAUGCUUGCUGAAUUCCAACACCGCCCAAUCGCCAAGCUCCUGGAUGUGUUUGUCAUUUAUGUUCUUGAUUGGUUCCCAUCCAUUCGCUCCUGUCGUGUUCCACAAUCGGGUUCCCAUCGAUUCACCACAGCCGUGGCUGGUACACCGAUGGCAUACAUGAUCACAACAACAACGAUGAGUAGGAAACUGGUUGUCCUCAUGGCGUAUAAACUUCGCGAUGAUGAAAAUUUUGGUUUGCUAGUGAGGUUUUGGAGCUUGAGAUAACGAGUCAGUUUAUGUGGGGCUCUGGUGAACUGGCAAUGUGAGUGGUUCCACAACAAUCGAGAUGGGGG
rnacentral:lncRNA from 1 species